rnacentral:lncRNA from 1 species
UUUCUUUUGGGUAUCCUAUGAAGACGCACUUCUCCGAUUUGGGUUUGAGCUUAUCAGGUUGAAACCUUUUUCACAUAAGCAUUGCAACCUCAAACUUUAAGAAACGACGGCUUAGGUUUCUUGCCAAACCAUAGUUCAUACGGUGUCGUCUCAACGGAUUUAGAUGGUGCCCUAUUUAACGUGAAUGUAGUUGUCUCUAAUGCAUAACCCCAAAACGAUGGUGGUAGAUCGGUAAGAGACAUCAUAGAUCGCACCAUAUCUAAUAAAGUACGGUAACGACGUUCGGACACACCAUUACUAUGUGGUGCUCCAGGUGGCGUGAGUAGUGAAACUAUUUCACAUUGUUUUAACUGAAGGCCAAACUCGUAACUCAAAUAUUCGUCUCCGCGAUCAGAUCGUAGAAACUUUAUUUUCUUGUUACGAUGAUUUUCCACUUCACUCUGAAAUUAUAUGAACUUUUCAAAUGUUUCAGACUUAUGUUUCAUCAAGCAGAUAUACCCAUAUCUGCUCAAAUCAUCUGUGAUGUUCAGAAAAUAACGAUACCCGCCGCAAGCCUCAACACUCAACGGAUCGCAUACAUCAGUAUGUAUUAUUUCCAGUAAGUCAGUUGCUCGCUCCAUUGUUUCAGAGAACGGAGUCUUAGUCAUCUUGCCCAUAAGGCAUGGUUCGCAAGCAUCAACUGAUCAUAAUCAAGUGAUUCCAAAAGCCCAUCAGCAUGGAUUUUCUUCAUGCGCUUUACACCAAUAUGACCUAGACGGCAGUGCCACAAAUAAGUUGCACUAUCAUUAUUAACUUUGCAUCUUUUGGCUUCAAUAUUAUGAAAAUGUGUAUCACCACGAUUGAGAUCCAACAAACCAUUUUCAUUGGGUGUAUGACCAUAGAAGGUAUUAUUCAUGUAAACAGAACAACAAUUAUUCUCUAAGUUACAUGAAUAACCGUAUUGCAAUAAACAUGAUCCAAUCAUAUUCAUGCUCAACGCAAACACUAAAUAACAUUUAUUUUAGGUUCAACACUAAUCCCGAAAGUAUAGGGAGUGUGCGAUGAUGAUCAUAUCAAUCUUGGAACCAUUUCCAAUACACAUCGUCACUUCACCCUUAACUAGUCUCUGUUCAUUCUGCAACUCCCGUUUCGAGUUACUAUCCUUAGCAACUGAACUAGUAUCAAAUACUGAGGGGUUGCUAUAAACACUAGUAAAGUACACAUCAAUAACAUGUAUAUCAAAUAUACCUAUGUUCACUUUGCCAUCCUUCUUAUCCGCCAAUUACUUGGGGUAGUUCCGCUUCCAGUGACCAGUCCCUUUGUAGUAGAAGCACUCAGUUUCAGGCUUAGGUCUAUACUUGGGCUUUUUCACUUGAGCAGCAACUUGCUUGCCGUUCUUCUUGAAGUUCCCCUUUCUUCCCUUUGUCCCUUUACUUGAAACUAGUGGUUUUUGUUUACCAUCAACACUUGAUGCUUUUCUUGAUUUCUACCUUCGUUGAUUUCAGCAUCACGAAGAGCUUGGGAAUCGUUUCCGUUAUCCCUUGCAUAUUAUAGUUCAUCACGAAGUUCUACUAACUUGGUGAUGGUGACUAGAGAAUUCUGUCAAUCACUAUUCUAUCUGGAAGAUUAACUCCCACUUGAUUCAAGCGAUUGUAGUACCCAGACAAUCUGAGCACAUGCUCACUGCUUGAGCUAUUCUCCUCCAUCUUUUAGCUAUAGAACUUGUUGGAGACUUCAUAUCUCUCAACUCGGGUAUUUGCUUGAAAUAUUAACUUCAACUCCUGGAACAUCUCAUAUGGUCCAUGACGUUCAAAACGUCUUUGAAGUCCCGAUUCUAAGCCAUUUAAGCAUGGUGCACUAAACUAUCAAGUAGUCAUCAUAUUGAGCUAGCCAAACGUUCAUAACAUCUGUAUCUGCUCCUGCAAUAGGUUUGUCACCUAGCGGUGCAUCAAGGACAUAAUUCUUCUGUGCAGCAAUGAGGAUAAACCUCAGAUCACGAAUCCAAUCCGCAUCAUUGCUACUAACAUCUUUCAACUUAGUUUUCUCUAGGAACAUAUCAAAAAUAAAAUAGGGGAGCUAAACACGAGCUAUUGAUCUACAACAUAGAUAUGCUAUACUACCAGGACUAAGUUCAUGAUAAAUUUAAGUUCAAUUAAUCAUAUUACUUAAGAACUCCCACUUAGAUAGACAUCCCUCUAAUCCUCUAAGUGAUCACGUGAUCCAUAUCAACUAAACCAUGUCCGAUCAUCAAGUGAGAUGGAGUAGUUUCAAUGGUGAACAUCACUAUGUUGAUCAUAUCUACUAUAUGAUUCACGCUCGACCUUUCGGUCUGAGUGUUCCGAGGCCAUAUCUGUUAUAUGCUAGGCUCGUCAAGUUCAACCUGAGUAUUCCGCGUGUGUAACUGUUUUGCACCCGUUGUAUUUGAACGUAGAGCCUAUCACACCCGAUCAUCAUGUGGUGUCUCAGCACGAAGAACUUUCGCAACGGUGCAUACUCAGGGAGAACACUUGUACCUUGAUAAUUAGUGAGAGAUCAUCUUAUAAAGCUACCAUCGAACUAAGCAAAAUAAGAUGUAUAAAAGAUAAACAUCACAUGCAAUCAAAAUAUGUGACAUGAUAUGGCCAUCAUCAUCUUGUGCCUUUGAUCUUCAUCUUCAAAGCAUCGUCAUGAUUUCCAUCGUCACCGGCAUGACACCAUGAUCUCCAUCAUCUUGAUCUAUAUCAAUGUGUCGUCACAUGGUCGUCUCGCCAACUAUUGCUCUUGCAACUAUUGCUAUCGCAUAGCGAUAAAGUAAAGCAAUUAUUUGGCGCUUGCAUCUAAUGCAAUAAAGAGACAACCAUAAGGCUUCUGCCAGUUGCCGAUAAAUUCAACUAAACAUGAUCAUCUUAUACAACAACUUAUAUCUCAUCACGUCUUGACCAUAUCACAUCACAACAUGCCCUGCAAAAACAAGUUAGACGUCCUCUACUUUGUUGUUGCAAGUUUUACGUGGCUGCUACGGGCUGAGCAAGAACCGUUCUUACCUACGCAUCAAAACCACAACGAUAGUUCGUCAAGUUAGUGCUGUUUUAACCAUCACAAGGACCGGGCGUAGCCACACUCGGUUCAACUAAAGUUGGAGAAACUGACACCCGCUAGUCACCUGUGUGCAAAGCACGGCGGUAAAACCAGUCUCGCGUAAGCAUACGCGUAAUGUCGGUCCGGGCCGCUUCAUCCAACAAUACCGCCUAACCAAAGUAUGACAUGCUGGUAAGCAGUAUGACUUGUAUCGCCCACAACUCACUUGUGUUCUACUCGUGCAUAUAACAUCAACGCAUAAAACCUGGCUCGGAUGCCACUGUUGGGGAACGUAGUAAUUUCAAAAAUUUCCUACGCACAUGCAAGAUCAUGGUGAUGCAUAGCAACGACAGGGGAGAGUGUGUCCACGUACCCUCGUAGACCGAAAGCGGAAGCGUUAGCACAACGCGGUUGAUGUAGUCGUACGUCUUCACGAUCCGACCGAUCCAAGUACCGAACGCACGGCACCUCUGAGUUCAGCACACGUUCAGCUCGAUGACGUCCCGCGAGCUCCGAUCCAGCAAAGCUUCGAGGGAGAGUUCCGUCAGCACGAUGGCGUGGUGACGAUGAUGAUGUUCUACCGACGCAGGGCUUCGCCUAAGCACCGCUACGAUAUUAUCGAGGUGGACUAUGGUGGAGGGGGGCACCGCACACGGCUAAGAGAUCCAAAGGAUCAAUUGUUGUCUCUCCAAGGGGUGCCCCCCUCCCCGUAUAUAAAGGAGUGGAGGAGGGGGAGGGCCGGCCCUCUCUAUGGAGCGCCCUAGGAGGAGUCCUACUCCCACCGGGAGUAGGAUUCCCCCCCCCCCCCGCCUUCCAAGUAGUAGGAGUAGGAGUCAAGGAAAGGGGAAAGAGAAGAGAAGGAAGGAGGGGGCGCAGCCCCUCCCCCUAGUCCAAUUCGGACUAGGCCUUGGGGGGCGUGCAGCCUCUCCUCUCUCUUUCCCCUAAAGCCCAAUAAGGCCCAUAUACUCCCCGGAGAAUUCCCGUAACUCUCCGGUACUCCGAAAAAUACCCGAAUCACUCGGAACCUUUCCGAUGUCCGAAUAUAGUCGUCCAAUAUAUCGAUCUUUAUGUCUCGACCAUCUCGAGACUCCUCGUCAUGUCCCCGAUCUCAUCCGGGACUCUGAACUACCUUCCGUACAUCAAAACACAUAAACUCAUAAUAUAAUCGUCAUCGAACUUUAAGCGUGCGGACCCUACGGGUUCGAGAACAAUGUAGACAUGACCGAGACACGUCUCCGGUCAAUAACUAAUAGCGGAACCUGGAUGCUCAUAUUGGCUCCCACAUAUUCUACGAAGAUCUUUAUCGGUCAAACCGCAUAACAACAUACGUUGUUCCCUUUGUCAUCGGUAUGUUACUUGCCCGAGAUUCGAUCGUUGGUAUCUCAAUAUCUAGUUCAAUCUCGUUACCGGCAAGUCUCUCUACUGGUUCCGUAAUACAUCAUCCCGCAACUAACUCAUUAGUUACAAUGCUUGCAAGGCUUAUAGUGAUGUGCAUUACUGAGUGGGCCCAGAGAUACCUCUCCGACAAUCGGAGUGACAAAUCCUAAUCUCGAAAUACGCCAACCCAACAAGUACCUUCGGAGACACCUGUAGAGCACCUUUAUAAUCACCCAGUUACGUUGUGACGUUUGGUAGCACACAAAGUGUUCCUCCGGUAAACGGGAGUUGCAUAAUCUCAUAGUCAUAGGAACAUGUAUAAGUCAUGAAGAAAGCAAUAGCAACAUACUAAACGAUCAAGUGCUAAGCUAACGGAAUGGGUCAAGUCAAUCACAUCAUUCUCCUAAUGAUGUUAUCCCGUUAAUCAAAUGACAACUCAUGUCUAUGGUUAGGAAACAUAACCAUCUUUAAUUAACGAGCUAGUCAAGUAGAGGCAUACUAAUGACACUCUGUUUGUCUAUGUAUUCACUCAUGUAUUAUGUUUCCGGUUAAUACAAUUCUAGCAUGAAUAAUAAACAUUUAUCAUGAUAUAAGGAAAUAAAUAAUAACUUUAUUAUUGCCUCUAGGGCAUAUUUCCUUCAACCGCACCUUCUGUUGAAGAGUUCUGGUAUCCGAAGCCUUUCUAGCCGUACCGGCAAUACUAGCACAUAUAUUCCAGCAAGUUCCACUUUGCUGAUUUUACUCUGAUGCUUACGGUUUUCCCGUUAUAUCUACACUAUGAUCUGUGUAGCUGCUUUGUGUCGCGCUAGCAGCAGUCCACUCUUGAAGCUAAACACUGCAAUGACUUACAAAAUUGGCACCAAGGCAUUGAGUGCCAUUCUGGAUGCAAUGAAACUCAUACGCUCCCCACCUGUUGACUCUUGUUCAGAAUAUGAUCCUAAUGACUCUUGUUCAAAAUUCCCACAUAUAGAGAGACAGCAUGGAAUUGCAUUUCUUUGGGCGCUGUGAUUCAUCAUGAGUGGGCAACCAACAUUGUAUGCAAUUAAGCGGAACCUCAAGAAUAUGCUUCCUCUUCUGUUCUUUAACAUGUUCCUCUUUUGUUAUUCUGUAUUUAGUACGUACAGUAUGUUCCUUGUCAGGAAGGGGAGUAGGGACAUCUGCAGUCAACAGCUGAUAGAGCUGGCAUGUACUUGAUCGAUAAGCUUUCAAUUACUAGCGGCAAUACAACACCGUAUUUUCAAGCCAGUUCCACUUUCCCGAUUUAUAUAUCGUGGUUAUGGUGUACCCCUUUUAUGCACACUAUGAUCUGCCUAGUUGCUAUGUGCUCUUGUUAUCAUGGUUUGGCAAUAAACUCUCUAUACAGUAUAUUUUGAACCUAUCAUCUGCCAACUAUCCUUACUUCUGGAGCCUAUUUUUUGUGUACUUGUGCCAGAUUAUAUAAAUGCACCCACCAUAUUACAGCACACAUGAGCUCUCUCAUCAGAAUCCAGUGAUAGCACACAAGUGUUUACAGGGGCGCCCCUAUAUUAGAAUAUCCUCUGCAUUACAAAGAUAAUCUCACAACUAUUUAUGUUUUCAUGGUUCUCAGAUAUUAUACGUAAUUACAGUGAAUAUCAGAAUCCGCGCAUCAGAAGAAUAUUGUGGAACACUGCAAUGACUUACAAAAUUGGCACCAAGGCAUUGAGUCCAUUAUGGAUUCAAUGAAACUCAUACGCUCCCCACCUGUAGAUUCUUGUUCAGAAUAUGAUCCUAAUGACUAUUCUAACCUCGAGGAGUCAAAGGAAGAUGGCCUGUCAUGUUCACCCAUCAAGGUGCCUGCUCUAAUUUGGCAAGGUUUUAUUGAUUGCACGUAUCUUGCAUAUGUUGUCUUGCAUUUCCUUUACUUUGUUGCACCGCCAUCUGCUUAGUUUACUCAUCAUAUAUGUCGAGAUGCCAUGCCCAUCCAUUAUCAAUACAUAUUCCAUCUGUCAUCAUACCAUGUUUUUCCACUCAAAUGAUGUUCUUGUGCAUCAGACAUCAAAAAGGAAGAUGGUGAUUGCCGAACCUGAAGGAGCACCAGGAAAGUCCAUGAAAAACGUGGUUGUGCCGGAGAAAUCAGACAGCACCCCACUUAUAUUGGUUGUACAACCAGUGACACAAAACGUAGGACCGACUCCAGCAGACUGUACCCAUACUUCACUGGCCACACCACUAGCCCCACCACACAGGACCUGCACUCCAGCAAAAGGUAUGCCGAUUUUAGUUGCCAUAGCACCAGCCGUACCACAAAAAAAUCCCACUCCAGCAAAAAGUACAGCAAGUCCACCGGCCGAAGACCUAUCCCAACUGCAGAGACGGCCAAUUCCUACAGAUUGGAACCCCAUUCCAGUUAUUCCCAGUUUAAAAGACAAUGCUUUCAAUGUUGUUAGCGACUACGUGCAUAUAUUCCCAUCAUUGGAAGAUUAUAGUGAAGACAAACACCAUUUUCACAUCUUCCUGUCCCACUUACGUGUAAGUGCUAUUAUUCAUGGUGAUUAUUUUCCUGUUUUCUCCUGAUUGAACACAUCAAUGAUUUACAUUACAUUGUUGUAAGUAGGCGAGGGUCAAUCUGGAUAGUCAUGACGAGCAAAGCUUGCUUGCGCUUUUCAAGGAAGCAUUGCAGCAGUAUUGGUGUUACCUGAGGAAAUCACACUUUGAUGGCAAGUCUAUAAACGAAUUUCUGGUGAAGUCUCCUAUGCUAAAUUUAGAAGACAUUGAAUGGAAAAACCUUGUUAUGCACUGGUCUCGUUCCGAGGAUGAGGUACGGUCUAUGAUAUCGCAUGACAAUUUGAACUUCUACUUUUUUGCAUGUGCCUUAUGGAUCUUUUUUGCAGGAAAUCUGCUCAAAAAAGAAUUCCGGUUUGAAAAGAACGACAGGAUAUCGCAAAUAUGUUGCCCGCUGCUUUGCUCUUGUUAGUACCUGUUGUCCUGUAUCAUUGUACUUGCAUACAUACCUGGUUCAUUAUGUGACAGCAGUAUGCAUGAUAGCUUGCUUAUCAAUUGUUUGCUCCAAAUUAUCUGAUCUGUAUGAAUGGUUACAUUAGUGUAGAAUAUAUCCAAUGCCAAUGAAAUUUUUUAGCUCUGCAUUGUUCUUGUAAGUACCCGCUGUCCUUUAUUAGUGUACUUAUAUUGACAGGUAGUUGUUCAUGUACCAUCACCCUGCAGCUUAUUUUCCUUUGCCCUCCAUUUUCUACACAUAAGAUCUAUAUUUACUCUUACCAUAAGGUUGGAUAACACCGAUGGUACUGAAGAAGUUUAGCUCUGCAUUGCUCUUGGCUGUACCUUUUGCCUGUAUCGCUGUACUUACAUUUAUAGCUACUUGGUUAUGUAGCAUCACUCUUCAUCUUAUCUUAAAUAUUCUCCAUUUUUUCUUAUAUUGUCACAUCUAUAUUUACUCUUAACAAAAUGUAGAAUAAAGGCAAUGCUUAUGAAGAAGAUUCUGUGGUAAACUUCUUGAAUUGCCCCCCCCCCCCAUCAGCAUGGACAAGGGCUUUAUAGAGCCUGCCUUCACCAAUAAUGUAAGUUUGUCCUUCUCAAGCCUUCAAACUUUGUUGUGUAUAUUUGGUUAGGCAUGACUGCAACAGCUGUUUAUUUUUGGUGUUUGCAUCAAAUUGCAUGUUUAAAGUUUAUUAUGUACUCCAGUUCAUAAACAAAAGUUUGUCCUUCUCAAUUUAAGUUUUCAGUUGUACAACCAAGUUCCUUCUUCAUACCAUGUAAAUUAAACUAUACAGAGCAAGUGAUCUUAUUUUGCCAAUCUGAAAUGGGAUAAAUUGACAGUACACUAACCAUUGAUACUUAUGAGUUCUUGAUCUGUAAUCCAGUGGUGUCGUGAAGCUGCCAACUCCUUCACAAUGUCAUUUCCUGCCAUGUCUUGACCUGAACAAUACCAUAUUGUGUUAAUGCUAUUUUAAACUGUGUCACUUUAUUCGUCAGUAAGAAAUGUGAUGAAUUGUCAGCACUGAUACUUAUAUGUGCAAAACCUGUCAUCUGUCUGCUUGUUUAUCUUUCAGAGUGAGGAGGAUAUAAGUGUCAAACAAGUGCAGUCUCACCAGCUUGCUCAGCUGCUUGCGCUGCAGCUCCCGAGCAGGGCUAACCUUUCUUGAACUCUAUUGAAGUGUGUCAGUUUUGUAUAUUAUUUUGUCGGCGUGUUUAGUUGCACUGGUGGCGAUCUUUGAUGCCAAGUGUAUGUAAUCUGCUGUCUGCUUGUGCUUUCUUAUCAUAGUGGCGAACUUUGAUGCCCAGUGGAUGUAAUAUGUCGUAAUUUCUUUAUUGUAUAGUCUAGGUUUUUUUUUCUUAUUCACGAUGCUGCAGUUAUUUUACUGUAUAUAUAUCCUGUCUUCGCAGUAAACCGGCCAAACCGUAAAAUUACGGUACAUAAUCGGGCCGUCAUGCAAAUCACCAUGUAUGAUCCGCAUCAUGGGCCCCGUCAUCUUGGUCCGUUAACAGGCCUAAAUGUAAACUGGCCCACUAGUAGAUUCGGGCCUUUAAUAGGCCGAGUAAACCGCCGGCCCUAUUUUCCCAAGAAAACUCAAUGGGCCUUUAGGAGGCUGAAAAGUAGGUUGGGCCUGAAACGUGUCGAACAGCUCAUGGGCCGGCAGCAGGCCGAAAUAGACCCCGGCCCAUGAAUGUACAAUCAAAUCAUGGGCUUAUAACAGGCCAAAAUUGUCUCGGUCCUUGUUUGGCCCAAUCAGAUUAUCGGCUGCGAGCAGGCCGAAUGCAAACCGGGCCGUAGUUAGGCCCAACUAUAUGACGGGCUUUUAACAGGCCAAAAUUAAUAUAGGGACGAAAUGUUAAACGGGCCCUUAACAGGCCGAAACUAAUAUCAGGCCGAAUUACUAAAUGGGCCUUUAUCAAGUGGGCCCAAAAGCAUAGCGUCUAGUUGACGGGCCGAAUCUGAUAUGGGCCAUAAUUUAGCCCAAAGCCUCUUAAAGGGUCGAACCUGAUCUGGGCCGUAAUUUGGCCCAGAACGUGGUAGGCUUUUAACGGGCCGGAUCUCAUAUGGGCCAUUAUUAUGCCCGGAACGUGGUAGGCCAUUAAUGGACCGGAUCAAAUAUGGGCCGGCAUUUGGCACAAAACAUGGCAGCCAGUUAAUGGGCCGGCCUACUAGGAUCCUCAAAAUCUUGUGGGCCUACAGCCGGGCCGGCCCAUUAAUGUCGGCGAAAUCUCGUGGGCCUUUAGCUGGGCCGGCCCAUUAUGGUCCACAAAAAUCUUGUGGGCCUUCACCAGGGCCGGCCCAUUAUGGCCCGCAAGAAUCUUGUGGGCCUUUACCUGGGCCGGCCCAUUAUAGCCCGCAAAAUCUUGUAGGCCUUUAGCUGGGUUGGCCCAUUAUGGUCCGCAAAAUCUUGUGGGCCCUUAGUUGGGCUGGCCCAUUUAAACUUUAUGGGCCACUUUUGGGCCGGUCCACGUGUUAACAUAUCAUAGGCGCAUCUCGCCCAUUGGAUGAGUGACACCUGUGCCAACACGGAGCUGACACGUGUUUCCUACAGCCAAUGAUGAUUUUACACGUGGAAAAUCCCCAUUGGUCCGGGUAGUUAAUGGGUUAUCGGAUCCAAAACCGGACCCGAUAGCUUAACGGCGUUCCGUUACGGUGGAUGCCACGUGUCGGUCACCCUUGACGAAAGCACUUCUGUGACGCGCGAUUUAUUGUCAUGGAAGUGGACACUUCCGUGAUGAUAAUUUUGGUAAUGUCAUGGAACACUUCUAUGACAGCACAGGUAUGACUAUCUUGAUUCUAUCAUAAAUUUUUCAUGGAUGUACAUGCAUGACAGAAAACGUGACUUACUGUGACAAACACGUAUCAUCAUGGAAGUGCAUUUUUUGUAGUGCUAUCAGCAUACAACUAACCCUAUGGUGUGAUCCACGCACGCGCUCAUAUGAUGGGCACCAAAGGACAGCAACAUAACCACAAGAAAAUUAAACCAAUCAUAGCAAUUCACCAGUCACCGAAAGGACAACGAAAAUCUACUCAGACAUCAUAGGAUGGCAACACAUCAUUGGAUAAUAAUAUGAAGCAUAAAGCACCAUGUUCAAGUAGAGGGUACAGCGGGUCGCGGGAGAGUGGACCGCUAUAGAUAGAUGGGGGAAGGUCAUGAAGAUGUUGGUGAAGAUGACGGAGGUGUUGGUGUAGAUCGCCGUGAUGAUGAUGGCCCCGGCGACGUUCCGGCGCCACCGGAAGCGAGGGGGAGAGAGACCCCCUCCUUCUUCUUCUUCCUUGACCUUCUCCCUAGAUGGGAGAAGGGUUUACCCUCUGGUACAUGGUCUCCAUGGCAUGGGAGGGGCAAGAGCCCCUCCGAGAUUGGAUCUGUCUCUCUGUCUCUCUCUGUUUCUGUGCUCUUGAUUCUUCCCUUUCACCGUUUCUUUUAUAACCGGAGAUCCGUAACUCCGAUUGGGCUGAAUUUUGGACACGAUCUCUAUCCGGAAAUUAGCUUUCCUGCGGCGAAAGAAGGGCUCCAACCGCCUUACGAGGUGGCCACGAGGGUCCAGAGCGCGCCUGACCCCCCUGGGGCGCGCCCCCUGCCUCGUGGCCCCCUCGCGCAUUGUAUCACGUUGAUUCUUCUUCCCAAAAAUCGCAAAUAUUCCAAAAAAAAUCUCCGUCAGUUUUUAUCCCGUUUAGACUCCGAUUGAUAUGGGUUUUCUGCAAAACAAAAAUAUGCAACAAACAGGAACUGGCACUGGGAACUGGAUCAAUAUGUUAGUCCCAAAAAUAGUAUAAAAAUUUGCCAAAAGUAUAUGAAAGUUGUAUAAUAUUGGCAUGGAACAAUCAAAAAUUAUAGAUACGACGGAGACGUAUUAGCAUCCCCAAGCUUAAUUCCUGCUCGUCCUUGAGUAGGUAAAUGAUAAAAAAGAUAAUUUUUGAUGUGGAAUGCUACCUAGCACAAUCUUGAUCAUGUAAUCUAAUCAUGGCAUCAAUAUUAAGACACGAGUGAUUCAAAGCAAUAGUCUAUCAUUUGACAUUAAGACAAUAAUACUUCAAGCUUACUAACCAAGCAAUUAUGUCCUCCCAAAAUAACAUAGCCAAAUAAAGCUCAUCCCUACAAAAUCAUAUAGUUUGGCCAUGCUUCAUUUCUGUCACACAAAAUGCUCCCAUCAUGCACAACCCCUCUGACAAGCCGAGCAAUUGCUUCAUACUUUUUUAACGCGCUUCAACCUUGUCAACCCUCACGCAAUACAUGAGCGCAAGCCAUGGAUAUAGCACUAUGGGUGGAAUAGAAUAUGAUAAUGGGGGUUGUGUGUAGAAGACAAAAAGGAGAAAGUCUCACAUUGACGCGGCUAAUCAACGGGCUAUGGAGAUGCCCAUCAAUUGAUGUCAAUGCGAGGAGUAGGGAUUGCGAUGCAACGGAUGCACUAGAGCUAUAAGUGUAUGAAAGCUCAAACUGAAACUAAGUGGGUGUGCAUCCAACUUGCUUGCUCAUGAAGACCUCGGGCAUUUGAGGAAGCCCAUCAUCGGAAUAUACAAGCCAAGUUAUAUAAUGAAAAUUCCCACUAGUAUAUGAAAGUGAUAACUCAAGAGACUCUCUAUAUGAAGAACAUGGUGCUACUCUGAAGCACAAGUGUGGUAAAAGGAUAGUAACAUUGUCCCUUCUCUCUUUGCUCUCAUUUUUUUGGUUUUUUUCCUUUUUUUGGGCCUUCUCCUUUUUUUGGCCUUUCUCUUUUUUUGUCUCAUCCCGGCUUGUGGGGGAAUCAUAGUCUCCAUCAUCCUUUCCUCACUGGGACAAUGCUCUAAUAAUGAUGGUCAUCACACUUUUAUUUACUUACAACUCAAUAUUACAACUCGAUACUAGAACAAAGAUAUGACUCUGUAUGAAUGCCUCCGGCGGUGUACAGGGAUGUGCAAUGAUCUAGCGUAGCAAUGACAUCAAAACGGAUAAGCCAUGAAAACAUCAUGCUAGCUAUCUUACGAUCAUGCAAAGCAAUAUGACAAUAAAUGCUCAAGUCAUGUAUAUGAUGAUGAUGGAAGUUGCAUGGCAAUAUAUCUCGGAAUGGCUAUGGAAAUGCCAUGAUAGGUAGGUAUGGUGGCUGUUUUGAGGAAGAUAUAAUGAGGCUUAUGUGUGAUAGAGCGUAUCGUAUCACGGGGUUUGGAUGCACCGGCGAAGUUUGCACCAACUCUCGAGGUGAGAAAGGGCAAUGCACGGUACCGAAGAGGCUAGCAAUGAUGGAAGGGUGAGAGUGCGUAUAUCCAUGGACUCACAUUAGUCAUAAAGAACUCAUAUACUUAUUGCAAAAGUUUAUUAGCCCUCGAAGCAAAGUACUACUACGCAUGCCCCUAGGGGGAUAGAUUGGUAGGAAAAGACCAUCGCUCAUCCCCGACCGCUACUCAUAAGGAAAGCAAUCAAAGAACACCCCAUGCUUCAAAUGUGUCACACAACGUUUACCAUACGUGCAUGCUACGGGACUUGCAAACCUCAACACAAGUAUUUCUCAAUUUCACAAUUACUCAACUAGCACGACUCUAAUAUCACCACCUUUAUAUCGCAAAACUAUUGCAAGGAAUCAAACAUAUCAUAUUCAGUGGUCUACAAGUUUUAUGUAGGAUUUUAUGACUAACCAUGUGAAUGACCAGUUCCCGUCAUCUCUCUAAAUAGAUAUAAGUGAAGCAAGAGAGUUUAAUUCUUUCUACAACAGAUAUGCCCACGCUCUAACAAAUAUAAGUGAAGCAAAAGAGCAUUCUACAAAUGGCGGUUUUCUAUAUGAAGAGAAACAGGCAAUCCAAACUUCAAAAGAUAUAAGUGAAGCACAUGAAGCAUUCUAUAAAGCCAUACUCAAAAGAUAUAAGUGAAGUUCAAAGAGCAUUUUAUAAAUCAACCAUGGACUAUAUCAUACCAGCAUGGUGCAUAAAAGAAAAGUGAAAACUAAAUGCAAAAGACGCUCCAAGAUUUGCACAUAUCGCAUGAACGAAACGAAUCUGAAAACAUACGGAUACUUGUUGAAGAAAGAUGGGAUGCCUUCCGGGGCAUCCCCAAGCUUAGGCGCUUGAGUCUCCUUGAAUAUUUACUUGGGGUGCCUUGGGCAUCCCCAAGCUUGAGCUCUUGCCUCUCAUUCUUCUCCUCACAUCGAGGCAUCCUCGAUCUUCGAACACUUCAUCCGCACAAAACUCAACAGAAAGCUCGGUAAGAUCCGUUAGUAUAAUAAAGCAAAUCACUACUCUAAGUACUGUUGCAAACCAAUUGAUAUUUUUUUUGCAUUGUAGCUACUGUAAUAUAACUUUUCCAUGGCUUAAUCCACUGAUAGGAAUCGAUAGUUUCAUCAAAACAAGCAAACUAUGCAUCAAAAACAGAAUCUGUCUAAAACAGAACAGUCUGUAAUAAUCUGAACAUUCACCAUACCUCUGGUACUCCAAAACUUCUACCAAAAUUAGGAAAAAUAAAAAAUUUGUAUAGAAAGACAGUGCAAAAAGUUUCAGAACCGUUUGACGUUCCAGUAAAAAAAUUAAAAUCGCGCACUACAGCCAAAUUUCUGUCCUGCACCGCACAAACCAACAAGCAUUGUAAACAUCCUAAAGGCAAACCUUGGCGCAUUAUUUUUAUAAUACAAUGGAAUUUUACAAGGGAAUAAAUAUUUUUGUUGAAAAGUUUCUGUAAUCAAGAUUCACAAAGUUUCCGUGAGCAUGAACAAAGUUCAAGGAGCUCCCCCACUUCAACAAUGCUUGUCUUUCUCACUUUCACUUUCCUUUUUGAAAAGUUUUGGGUUCCCCUCUUUAUUUUUUGUUUUUAAACUUUAUAAAAGCACUCAACAGAAAUAAAUGACUCUCUAAAACUUCCGAGUAGUCUCCCUGGCAGCGCUUUCUUUAAAGCCAUUAAGCUAGGCAUAUAGUGCUUAAGUAAUGAAUCCACCCAGAUCCCAAGGUAUAUCAAAGCCAAUUUUAAUUAACAAUGAUUUGUGAUUUAGUAGUGAGCACAAAGUAACAUAUAUCAUGUAAUAACGAAGUCUAACUCUCUUCCUAUGCAUCGGCAUGUCAUAAAAGAACAAUUCAUGCACACAAAGUAAAGGCCAAUGCAUAGUAUAAACAGUUUCUUGCAAUUUUAUCGUGUGGGAAACAUAGAGAGGUGGAGAUAUAGUUCCUCUCUCAUAAUAAUUGCAAGUAGGAGCAUCAAGCACAUGCAUAUUAUAUUCACCAAAAUCAUCAUGUGCAACGGUAAAAGGCAACCCAUCAAUAUAAUCCUUAAUAAAGGCAAACUUCUCCGAUAUAGUGUAGUCGGGAGAAUUCAAACAGAUAAUAGGACUAUCAUGCGUGGGUGCAAUAGCAGCAAUUUCAUGUUUAACAUAAAUAACUAUAGCAAGUUCAUCUCCAUAAGCAUAAUUCAUAUUGGCAUCUUGGCAACAAGCAUAGCAAGCAUCAUCAAAAAGGGAUAUUUCAAGAGAAUCAACGGGAUCAUAACAAUCAUCAUAGCAAUCAUCCUUCGGUAAGCACGAAGGGAAAUUAAGCAAUGUAUGAGUUUAAGAGUUACUCUCAUUAGAAGGUGGGCACGGGUAGCUAACCCGCUCUUCCUCCUUUUGUUCUCCGCUCUCCUCAUCAUCUUUUUCAUCCAAUGAGCUCACAGUUUCAUCAAUUCCUUCUUCCAUAGACUCCUGCAAAAUAUUAUUCUCUUCUUGGACAGCGGAGGAGUCCUCAAUAUAUGGUUUAAUAUAAGGAUUAGAAGCAUAAUUAUCAUAGAAAUAUUUAAGUAUGGCAAAAAUUUCAAAUUUGUAAAGAGUAGCAUCAUACUUUUCAAUCAAACAAGCAAUUUCAUAAGCACCCUUAAAAGCAACAAAUUCUUCAAUUUGUUGAACAUCAUAGUAAUUAUAAACACCUUUAGCAUACGAAGAUACGAUUCCAUUAUCACUAAACUCACAUUGGUAGGGAAGGUGUUUCUUAGGGUCUUCAGAACAACAAGUAAAAUCAUAUAUUUCACAUAAAUUCCAAGCAUAGCAUUGCAAACGAUGAACUUGAUCCAGCAAAAGUUUCCCCUUUUCAGUUAUGCGGUGUCGGACAUAACAAGCAUGCUCAUCUAAAGAUUUGCCCUCAACUAAGCUAGUUGGGGUUUCAGCUCGAGCACAUAGGGAUCGAAGAUGAUCCAAGUAAAAAGCUUCAGUAGUGUGAUAGAUUUUUUAGUGGUUCUUCAACCAUUGGUGUAGUAGGUACAACUAAUUUUUUUGGUAUUUUGCGUUUCCUACCCAUAACUAAAGAUAGAAAACAAGAGCACAAAAUAAAAACUACUUAGUGAUAAAGCAAACAAGCACACACGAGAAUAUUCACCCCACGCUAUUGCUCCCCGGCAAUGGCGCCAGAAAAAGGUCUUGAUAACCCACAAGUAUAGGGGAUCAAUUGUAGCCUCUUUCGAUAAGUAAGAGUGUCGAACCCAACGAGGAGCUAAAGGUAGAACAAAUAUUCCCUCAAGUUCUUUCGACCACUGAUACAACUCUACGCACGCUUAACAUUCGCUUUACCUAGAACAAGUAUGAAACUAGAAGUACUUUGUAGGUGUUUUUGGAUAGGUUUGCAAGAUAAUAAAGAGCACGUAAAUAAAAACUAGGGGCUGUUUAGGUAAAGAAGCAAUAAAAUUAGUAUAGAGAGUGUGGAAAAGUGGUGGUAGGAGUUGCGAAAUUGUCCCUAAGCAAUUGACUACUUUACUAGACCGAUAGCAAGUUUUAUGUAGGAGAGGCCACUACUAGCAUGUCAUCCCUGACUUGGAAUUUUAUGCACUUAUGAUUGGAACUAUUAGCAAGCGUCCGCAACUACUAACGUUCAUUAAGGUAAAACCCAACCAUAGCAUUAAGAUAUAUUGGUCCACCUUCAAUCCCGUACGCAUCAAUUUUGUGACGCCCCCGAUUCAAUCGUACACUAAUCAUACACGCAAACGUGUACGAUCAAGAUCAGGGACUCGCGGGAAGAUAUCACAACACAACUCUAAAAAUAAAAUAAGUCAUACAAGCAUCAUAAUACAAGCCAGGGGCCUCGAGGGCUCGAAUACAAGUGCUCGAUCAUAGACAAGUCAGUGGAAGCAACAAAAUCUGAGUACAGACAUAAGUUAAGCAAGUUUGCCUUAAGAAGGCUAGCACAAACUAGGAUACAGAUCGAAAGAGGCGCAGGCCUCCUGCCUGGGAUCCUCCUAAACUACUCCUGGCCGUCGUCAACGGCUUGCACGUAGUAGUAGGCACCUCCGGUAUAGUAGGAGUCGUCGUCGAUGGUGGCGUCUGGCUCCUGGGCUCCAGCAUCUGGUUGCGACAACCAGGUAGAAAGGAAAGGGGGAAAAGAGGGAGAAAAGCAACCGUGAGUACUCAUCCAAAGUACUCGCAAGCAAGGAGCUACACUACAUAUGCAUGGGUAUAUGUGUAAAGGGCCAUAUCGGUGGACUGAACUGCAGAAUGCCAAAAUAAGUGGGGGAUAGCUAAUCCUGUCGAAGACUACGCUUCUGGCCACCUCCAUCUUGCAGCAUGUAGGAGAGAGUAGAUGGUAAGUUCACCAAGUAGCAUCGCAUAGCAUAAUCCUACCCGGCGAUCCCCUCCUCGUCGCCCUGUUAGAGAGCGAUCACCGGGUUAUAUCUGGCACUUGGAAGGGUGUGUUUUAUUAAGUAUCCGGUUCUAGUUGUCAUAAGGUCAAGGUACAACUCCGGGUCGUCCUUUUACCGAGGGACACGGCUAUUCGAAUAGAUAAACUUCCCUGCAGGGAUGCACCACAUAACCCAACACGCUCGAUCCCAUUUGGCCGGACACACUUUCCUGGGUCAUGCCUGGCCUAGUAAGAUCAACACGUCGCAGCCCCACCUAGGCUCAACAGAGAGGUCAGCACGCCGGUCUAAAUCCUAUGGCACAGGGGUCUGGGCCCAUCGCCCAUUGCAAACCUGCACGUUGCGAACGCGGCCGAAAGCAGACCUAGCCUAGUAGGCGUUCCAGUCCAAUCCGGCGCGCGCCACUCAGUCGCUGACGUCACGAAGGCUUCGGCUGAUACCACGACAUCGAGUGCCCAUAAUUGUUCCCGCGUAGUUGGUUAGUGCAUAGAGACCAAAUAGCCAGACUCAGAUCAAAUACCAAGAUCUCGUUAAGCGUGUUAAGUAUCCGCGAACGCCGACCAAGGCCAGGCCCACCUCUCUCGUAGGUGGUCUCAACCUGCCCUGUCGCUCCGCCAUAAAGUAACAGUCGGGGGCCGUCAGGAACCCAGGCCCACCUCUACCGGGAUGGAGCCACCUGUCCUUUCAGCCCCCUCAUCAGAAUCACUUGCGGGUACUCAACGAGCCGACCCGACUUUAGUCACCACAUGUGUCAUGUAUAUAAAGUAUAUAGUAUAUACCCGUGAUCACCUCCCGAAGUGAUCACGGCCCAGUAGUAUAGCAUGGCAGACGGACAAGAGUGUAGGGCCACUGAUGGAACACUAGCAUCCUAUACUAAGCAGUAGGAUAGCAGGUAAGGGUAACAACUGUAGCAACAAUGACAGGCUAUGCAACAGAAUAGGAUUAACCGAAAUCAGUAACAUGCUACACUACUCUAAUGCAAGCAGUAUAGAGAAGAAUAGGCGAUAUCUGGUGAUCAAGGGGGGGGGCUUGCCUCGUUGCUUUGGCAAGAAGGAGGGGUCGUCAACACCGUAGUCGUACUAGGUAGCAGCGGCGUCGGUCUCGGUGUCUAACGAGAGAAGAGGGGGAAGAAACAAUAAAUAUAAUGCAAACAUAAGCAUGACAAUGGAAGACAUGUCAAUGCGCGGGGCUAGGUGUGCCCUAACGCGGUAGGAGGUGGUACUGGCGAAGGGGGGAAACAUCCGGGAAAGUAUUCCCGGUGUUUCGCAUUUUUGGUCAGAUGAACCGGAGGUGAAAUGUUGCAGGUUCGCUAUGCUAGGGAUGUGUGGCGGUCAAACGGGCUGCAUAUUCGGAUUCGGCUCGUCGUUCUGAGCAACUUUCAUGUACAAAACAUUUUCAUCCGAGUUACGGUUUAUUUUAUAUUUAUUAUUAAAGUUUUAAAUCAUUUUCUAAAUUAUUAUUAUUAAAUUAAUUUGAAAUUAGUAUUAUUGCAUCAGCAUGACGUCAGCAGUCAACAGAGGGGUUGACUGGUCAAUCUGACACGUGGGUCCCACUGGUCAUAGACUCAGGUUUAACUAAACCGGGUUAAUUAGACUAACUAAGUGAUUAGGCUAAUUUAUUUUAAUUAGAUUAGUUAAACAGCAUUAAUUAACUUAAUUAACUCAUUAAUUAAUUAAUUAAUAAUUUAUUUAUUGUAACACAUUUUUUAUUCUCUUUUUUUUUAACAAAAUCGUUCUGGGGGCGGGGCCCCCCGUCAUUGGCCUAGGGGCCUUAACAGGUCGGGCGAAACGGGCGCGAGCGCCAGGUCGCGACGGGGGCACGGGCGCCAGAGCGCGCCGGCGGCCAGGGCGGGGCUCACCGGCCGGCCGUUUCCGGCGAAGGANNNNNNNNNNNNNNNNNNNNNNNNNNNNNNNNNNNNNNNNNNNNNNNNNNNNNNNNNNNNNNNNNNNNNNNNNNNNNNNNNNNNNNNNNNNNNNNNNNNNNNNNNNNNNNNNNNNNNNNNNNNNNNNNNNNNNNNNNNNNNNNNNNNNNNNNNNNNNNNNNNNNNNNNNNNNNNNNNNNNNNNNNNNNNNNNNNNNNNNNNNNNNNNNNNNNNNNNNNNNNNNNNNNNNNNNNNNNNNNNNNNNNNNNNNNNNNNNNNNNNNNNNNNNNNNNNNNNNNNNNNNNNNNNNNNNNNNNNNNNNNNNNNNNNNNNNNNNNNNNNNNNNNNNNNNNNNNNNNNNNNNNNNNNNNNNNNNNNNNNNNNNNNNNNNNNNNNNNNNNNNNNNNNNNNNNNNNNNNNNNNNNNNNNNNNNNNNNNNNNNNNNNNNNNNNNNNNNNNNNNNNNNNNNNNNNNNNNNNNNNNNNNNNNNNNNNNNNNNNNNNNNNNNNNNNNNNNNNNNNNNNNNNNNNNNNNNNNNNNNNNNNNNNNNNNNNNNNNNNNNNNNNNNNNNNNNNNNNNNNNNNNNNNNNNNNNNNNNNNNNNNNNNNNNNNNNNNNNNNNNNNNNNNNNNNNNNNNNNNNNNNGACUGGGGGCGAGGGGAGUGGGGAGUGGGGCGACUGGGGAGGGACUGCUAGGGUUUGGUGUGGAUCGGGGGGGUUAAGGGGAGGCGGCUGGGCCGGCCUGGCUGGUUGCGGCCAGCUGGGUCGAGGCCAAGUGGUGGGCGGGGGGGCUUUUGGUUUUAUUUGUCUUUUCUCCUUUUCUUGUUUUCUUUUCUAUUUUAUUUCUGGUUUCUUUUACUUUUAGCUUUAUGAAAUUUAAAAGCGACAACUAAUUUGGUGUUAUUAAAUAGGUCACAGCCCCAACUAUUUUGGCACUUUAAAUAAAGUAUUUUGCAUCUGCUUAUUAUUUUAAAAGCAUUUUAGAUAAUUGUUUUACCGUUGUUUUAGUUUAUUUAGUGCAUUUAAGUAUUUUAUUAAAAGAUGAUUUCUUCACCAACAUUUAUUAUGGAUUAUUUGACACAUUAGGAACAAUUUAGUUUUGACUUUUGAAAACUUUAUUUGUUUUGACUUUAAUUCAAAUUCGAAUUUGGAUCGGUUCUGAACUAACGCGAGAUUAGCGACAGUAAUCGUGGUGACGUGGCACCAUUAGCAGAGUUUCACUAUAGCUUAACUAUCCGGGCAUCACAAUUCUCCUCCACUACAAGAAAUCUCGUCCCGAGAUUUAAGAGGGGUGUAAGGGGGAAAGUCCUGGUUACGAAAUUCUAACGAUUCUUCUCGGUCUUGGUUGCUCUUCUCGAAGAGGUCGAUACAUUACGUUGAUGUCUUCAUUCCUCUGCUUCAGGUCAUCAUGGUGAAGUCGGCGUCCUUUCUUCGGGAACUCUAUCGUGCAUACGAAAGAAUAAAGGGGUAUUCCGGGAGAACGGACCUCUGCAAGGUCGACUAUCUGGUCGAUAACAUCGGGGAAGGUGCCGAAAGUAUCUCUUGAAUUGAAAUUUAAGAAAAUAUCGAGAGCAAAGUAAGGAGGUAACAUGGGAAGUUUCACGCGGACAGACAAUCGUUCGUUGCCUGAAACAGGGCGUGAAAGGGGUUCAAAGCAACGGGAAUAAGUACUGUGUCUGAUACUAGAAUUGAUGAUCUCUCGGAAAGUGGCUCGUGAAUUUCAUACGAGGCCACGUGCGAGGAACAACCUUGAGAACAAGGGGUGUACAGGAGAGUCAGGUUUCGAUCCAGUGGACCUGUGGGUUAUGGGCCCAUCAUGUGGGUUAAAAGUAGAGGGAGCGGUGACAUCUUGCAUGGUCAUGAUAGCAAGGCGGGUCAGAGGGUAGCCUGUCGAUUAUGUCGGCAACCACGUCGGUACCAAGGGCGAGGGACGAAGAGAACCAUUUUCCUGCUCGUUGAACGAGCCGGACCAAUAGGCAAAGUUCUCAUCCAUCGGUGGCUACCAGAAUGUCAUCAACAAUGGUAACAGGGUCUUGCUGACAGAAUUGUACACCGAGGUGUUUACAUAAGCAGGAGAACAUCACUGCUUAGAUCAUAUAGAUCACAAGAAACGUUAAACCAACCAAUGGAAAGGCAAAUAUGAUUAUCAGAUUAAACAGAACAAUGGAAAGGAAAAUGUGUUUAAACACAUAUUUCAAGGGUAUAUCCUUCCCAAGGACAAGCAGAGCAUGAUAUCCAUGACAGGAUAGAAAGUAGAAAACCAUUUAGGUAAUGGGAGAGGAAUUUCAUGACAUGACCCAUACAACGGUGUUUGGAUAAUUGAUAAAGAAAAUUUUGCAUUGUGCUUCAAAUGUUCUUAUUGAAAAUCGGAGUACCAGUGACAUGCUUUGAGAUAGCAUUGACAAUGUAUUCAAGCAAAGGUCAGACUUUGGAUACAGGAUGGAUCCAUCAGGAUCAACUUGUAGAAUAAGUCUUACAAUUUCCUCAUGGAAGAAUGGAUAACCUUGCUAAAAAGGAAACUAUAACAUCAGGUCCCCCGGCCAGGUGUGUUAGGCAUGACAUCAUCUUACCGGGUCAUAUAAAGACCAAUGAUAUGACUCUUGGAAAAUGUCCCAACCAUCAUAUCCGACUGAGAUUCAGGUCUGAUUGGUGUCGGGAUACCUCAGACUUAGGAUACCUGAGAAGAAAAGGUGCAACACAAAUUGACGAGAUGAUAAUGUAAGAUUCUCGGGAAAUGAACUAUGGAAGCGAGUUCCGAUACAAGAGUUCAUUAGUAAACCAUGUAGAGGAUGAGGAGGUGGCUGAUGGACUCAGCAGCAAUUCAUUGAGGUUUCCAAAAGCUGGAUUUCCACAAUUAAGUGAACGAGGUGGUAGCAUCGGACAGGCCUAAGUAUAUAAUGAGGUAUGUUCGAUGAGAACCUCCACAAUUAAAUAUUGAACGAAAAUGCACCUGGUAAUAUGGACCAAGUAGGACGAUCAAAGUUAGAAUGGUGAUUCGAUAACGAAACUAUCAACCAUUCACUUUGAAACAAUAGGGUUGCUAGAGGUAUUAAAUUCUCACAACAGAGUUCACUCAACACGGGGGGCAAGAAAAGAAUGGUGAUGGCGAGAAGCAUCGCUGCAACAAGAAUUUCUUAAGAGGUGGUGAAAUUCUCACGACAUUCCUGACAUAAAAGAUGGUAAUACUUCAAGGUAGAACAUAAUACGAGCUGGAUUGCAAGUUGCAUUCAUAGCAUGUAUAAGUUUGUGUUGGGGGAAGGCAAGAAUGUUGUCGAUGAUAACACAAUCAUCGAGGGGCAAGGAUGGUAUUUCCCAUCGUGUAUUUGAUUGAUAUCCUGGAAGAGCUCAAAAUGUCGAUGAUGAUCACGACAAUUUUGUCGAGAAGCUCCACAAAGAAGCAAUCGAACAACGACUGCUCAAGCAGAAGGACUGAUGCAGCAAAAGAUUAAUGGAACUACGGAUACAGCACCAACUAGGAAUCAAGCUUGCCGUUCGAGGUGAAACGAUAAGACAAGGAAGAUCGACAUAAGCUUAGCUCAUCGUUGAAAGUUGUGCUCUGGGAAGAAGGACCAGGUAGCACAGUUAAAAUUUAGCACAAGAUGAUAGCCAUCAGGCUAGGAUUGACAUGCUCGAGUAAAAACUUGUGAGUAAAGGAGAUUACUAAGAUUUGUUUAAUCGUGGUGCGGACCCGAUUUAGUUAUCGGUGUCCUCGAGUGACUAACAACUCGGAACCAGGAAACAUUGGAAUCGGUGAGGAAUAAUACUUGAUGAAGGCUCAUAAUAAGCAACAUGGUUCGGUGAUAUUAUCGAGAUUCCAGAGGGUAAUACUCGGAGGUAGAGCAAAAUGGAGGGUUGGCAAGUGUAUUGAUCUGCAAAAGACAAGUACUUUAACUUGUCCGAGAGAAGGAAUCAUUGAUUAUCAAUAUGGCCGAAACCAUAGUUGCAAGGGAUCCAAUUCAAAGACACCGGAAGAAUUAUCCAACUAAUUAAAAGUUUUGCAAGAAGCUUCCAUGAUAAGUUCCACAUCGGGUCCAUGGGCAUGAACACUAAGUUCAAGGUCGACUCCCACUUCUUCAAUGCAUGACCUUCCAUGCACUUCUCGUGUUUCAAAAAUGACAUUAGUUGUUGAAAGUUUUAAUUGAUGCAAUACCAGAUAAGUAUGACCUGUGAAAUCUUAUGGGUUCAAAUAGAUUAGGGAAGUCGUUGGUUCAACCCAUCGGGGCAUCUUAGGAACCUAUACCACAAACUUAAAGAGUAAAUAACACAAGCUCGAAGGUAGAGCAUGGUUGGCAAAAGGAGAGGAUGCAAUUUACCAAAGGCAUUAUGUAUCAGGGAAGAACUCACGAGGUGGUUAAAUAUGAGGGCAUUGUCGGAUAAUAAUCCAACCAAGGAUCUGGUGGUCCACAAGGGAUCUGACGUGAGUAUCAAUAUUCAACCAAAAGAAGUAAUGCAAGGGCAUCAGAUUGUAGAAAUAUAUGGAUAACUUCAAUGCUUAGACACAAGGGAAAUAUUAUUUCCAAAUCGGGGAAUCAGAAGCAGAGGCUCUCAUCAAAAGAUAAAUAAGUUGAAUAGUCAUAGAUCGACAAUCAAUCAAGGUUUGAUUUGCCGAGAGCCAACUCAUAUCCGGAGUGACGUCUGAGGCCAGAAGAACAAAUUCUAGGGUCUGAUUGAGGAUUGCGAGCAUUCGCAACAUAUUGAAUCAACGGGCUCAAAUGAUAAUGACAAAGGAUGCCAAUAAGAUUACCAGACUUAUGGGAUUAAUCAUAAUGAAAGCAAGCAAGAAAUUCCAGAGCAAUAGGUUGCUGAGGAUUUCUGGAAGAUCGAAUGGUAUUUCAAAGACUUCAUGAAACAUACGGUCAACUGGGGAUGAGCGGAUACUCGGUAAGUGCGACGAAUUAUCCGUAGGGGUAUUCAGGUGCCAAAAAAACUGCAAGGCAGUGGCACAAGAUAUUGUCGGAUCAAUAGAGAGAAUUCCGAGCUAUCUUGUAAUAACAAGAUCAACUGGGAAUAAAAGUAGGAACGACAAGUGCAUGUAUUUAUCCAUAGGGAUAUUUCGAUGGUAGGGAAUUGAAAAAGCCACGGGCACAAAGUCUCGAGAGAACAUCGGAGAGUAUCUUCAAAAUCCUUCGAUGCACCAAGUAAUCAUCUGGAGUAAGGGCUCUCCGGGUGGAAGUAGUUACGAGAACCUAUAGUCGGCGUUAGUAAAAUCAUUUAACCCGAAUAGAAGAGAGAUUAGAGUCCCAGAGUAUAGGUCGAGGAAUAAAAGAUCCUAAUACCACCCAUUGGCGACGUGGGCCCGUAAGGCGCACAACCAUGUUAGUAAAAGUUUUGUAAUGUCUAGACUCGACUUCGACCAAGGAGUUGGAAAGGGGGAUUCCUACAGGCAGUCGGCUCUGAUACCAACUUGUGACACCCCCGAUUCAAUCGUACACUAAUCAUACACGCAAACGUGUACGAUCAAGAUCAGGGACUCACGGGAAGAUAUCACAACACAACUCUAAAAAUAAAAUAAGUCAUACAAGCAUCAUAAUACAAGCCAGGGGCCUCGAGGGCUCGAAUACAAGUGCUCGAUCAUAGACGAGUCAGCGGAAGCAACAAAAUCUGAGUACAGACAUAAGUUAAGCAAGUUUGCCUUAAGAAGGCUAGCACAAACUGGGAUACAGAUCGAAAGAGGCGCAGGCCUCCUGCCUGGGAUCCUCCUAAACUACUCCUGGCCGUCGUCAGCGGCUUGCACGUAGUAGUAGGCACCUCCGGUGUAGUAGGAGUCAUCGUCGACGGUGGCGUCUGGCUCCUGGGCUCCAGCAUCUGGUUGCGACAACCAGGUAGAAAGGAAAGGGGGAAAAGAGGGAGAAAAGCAACCGUGAGUACUCAUCCAAAGUACUCGCAAGCAAGGAGCUACACUACAUAUGCAUGGGCAUAUGUGUAAAGGGCCAUAUCGGUGGACUGAACUGCAGAAUGCCAGAAUAAGUGGGGGAUAGCUAAUCCUGUCGAAGACUACGCUUCUGGCCACCUCCAUCUUGCAGCAUGUAGGAGAGAGUAGAUGGUAAGUUCACCAAGUAGCAUCGCAUAGCAUAAUCCUACCCGGCGAUCCCCUCCUCGUCGCCCUGUUAGAGAGCGAUCACCGGGUUAUAUCUGGCACUUGGAAGGGUGUGUUUUAUUAAGUAUCCGGUUCUAGUUGUCAUAAGGUCAAGGUACAACUCCGGGUCAUCCUUUUACCGAGGGACACGGCUAUUCGAAUAGAUAAACUUCCCUGCAGGGGUGCACCACAUAACCCAACACGCUCGAUCCCAUUUGGCCGGACACACUUUCCUGGGUCAUGCCCGGCCUCGUAAGAUCAACAAGUCGCAGCCCCACCUAGGCACAACAGAGAGGUCAGCACGCCGGUCUAAAUCCUAUGGCGCAGGAGUCUGGGCCCAUCGCCCAUUGCACACCUGCACAUUGCGAACGCGGCCGAAAGCAGACCUAGCCUAGUAGGCGUUCCAGUCCAAUCCGGCGCGCGCCACUCAGUCGCUGACGUCACGAAGGCUUCGGCUGAUACCACGACGUCGAGUGCCCAUAACUGUUCCCGCGUAGUUGGUUAGUGCGUAUAGACCAAAUGGCCAGACUCAUAUCAAAUACCAAGAUCUCGUUAAGCGUGUUAAGUAUCCGCGAAUGCCGACCAGGGCCAGGCCCACCUCUCUCCUAGGUGGUCUCAACCUGCCCUGUCGCUCCGCCAUAAAGUAACAGUUGGGGGCCGUUAGGAACCCAGGCCCACCUCUACCGGGAUGGAGCCACCUGUCCUUUCAGCCUUCUCGUCAGAAUCACUUGCGGGUACUCAACGAGCCGACCCGACUUUAGUCACCACAUGUGUCAUGUAUAUAAAGUAUAUAGUAUAUACCCGUGAUCACCUCCCGAAGUGAUCACGGCCCAGUAGUAUAGCAUGGCAGACGGACAAGAGUGUAGGGCCACUGAUGGAACACUAGCAUCCUAUACUAAGCAGUAGGAUAGCAGGUAGCAACAAUGACAGGCUAUGCAAAAGAAUAGGAUUAACCAAAAUCAGUAACAUGCUACACUACUCUAAUGCAAGUAGUAUAGAGAAGAAUAGGCGAUAUCUGGUGAUCAAUUGGGGGCUUGCCUCGUUGCUUUGGCAAGAAGGAGGGGUCGUCAACACCGUAGUCGUACUGGGUAGCAGCGGCGUCGGUCUCGGUGUCUAACGAGAGAAGAGGGGGAAGAAACAAUAAAUAUAAUGCAAACAUAAGCAUGACGAUGGAAGACAUGUCAAUGCGCGGGGCUAGGUGUGCCCUAACGCGGUAGGAGGUGGUACCGGCGAAGGGGGGAAACAUCCGGGAAAGUAUUCCCGGUGUUUCACGUUUUUGGACAGAUGAACCGGAGGUGAAAUGUUGCAGGUUCGCUAUGCUAGGGAUGUGUGGCGGUCAAAGAGGCUGCGUAUUCGGAUUCGGCUCGUCGUUCUGAGCAACUUCCAUGUACAAAACAUUUUCAUCCGAGUUACGGUUUAUUUUAUAUUAAUUAUUAAAGUUUAAAUCAUUUUCUAAAUUAUUAUUAUUAAAUUAAUUCGAAAUUAGUAUUAUUGCAUCAGCAUGACGUCAGCAGUCAACAGAGGGGUUGACUGGUCAAUCUGACACGUGGGUCCCAUUGGUCAUAGACUCAGGUUUAACUAAACCGGGUUAACUAGACUAGCUAAGUGAUUAGGCUAAUUUAUUUUAAUUAGAUUAGUUAAACAGGAUUAAUUAACUUAGUUAACUCAUUAAUUAAUUAAUAAUUUAUUUAUUCUAACACAUUUUUUAUUCUCUUUUUUUAAACAAAAUCGUUCUGGGGGCGGGGGCCCCCGUCAUUGGCCUAGGGGCCUUAACGGGUCGGGCGAAACGGGCGCGAGCGCCAGGUCGCGAUGGGGGCACGGGCGCCAGAGCGCGCCGGCGGCCAGGGCGGGGCUCACCAGUCGGCCGUUUCCGGCGAAGGAAGCCGGCGCAGGAGGGGUCGCUGAAGGCAGCACCAGGCGCGCUCAGGCCUCGCACGGGGCGGCAGAGGCGAGGUGGUCGCCGGAGUGUGGCUGGCCUUGGCCAAGGCGGCCAUGGAUAGGGACGAGGGGAGCCGGCGUUAGCCGCGGUGGCCGGUGGGCAAGGUCAGGGGUGGUUCGCGCGACGGCGAGCGAGGUGCGGGCGUAGACCGCGUGAGGGAGCAGCAGCAGGUCCACGGUGACGGUGGUCGCGGCCCGCGAUGUGCGCGAGCGGACGAUGGGGACAGAGGAGGGGAGGUAGCGGUGCUCACGGCGGGUUCGUAGGGUUCAGGGCAACGGGGGUCGAGGAGGACGUCGGGGACGACGGUGACGAAGAGGAGGCUGUCCGGCGAGGAAGCUCUGGGCGACGAGGUGGCCGCGACGGCGGUGCUGCUGCAGGCGCGGCGCUCAGGGCUGGCCAUGGCAAGCAGGAGGUGAGAUAGGCCAGAUCCUCAACGGGGCCUCGAGGAUGGCGAGGCGACGACACGAGGACGGCAGGAGGACCUGCGGGGCGUAGGCGGCGGUCCGGGGCGAUGGGGUCNNNNNNNNNNNNNNNNNNNNNNNNNNNNNNNNNNNNNNNNNNNNNNNNNNNNNNNNNNNNNNNNNNNNNNNNNNNNNNNNNNNNNNNNNNNNNNNNNNNNNNNNNNNNNNNNNNNNNNNNNNNNNNNNNNNNNNNNNNNNNNNNNNNNNNNNNNNNNNNNNNNNNNNNNNNNNNNNNNNNNNNNNNNNNNNNNNNNNNNNNNNNNNNNNNNNNNNNNNNNNNNNNNNNNNNNNNNNNNNNNNNNNNNNNNNNNNNNNNNNNNNNNNNNNNNNNNNNNNNNNNNNNNNNNNNNNNNNNNNNNNNNNNNNNNNNNNNNNNNNNNNNNNNNNNNNNNNNNNNNNNNNNNNNNNNNNNNNNNNNNNNNNNNNNNNNNNNNNNNNNNNNNNNNNNNNNNNNNNNNNNNNNNNGGGGGCUUUUGGUUUUAUUUGUCUUUUCUCCUUUUCUUGUUUUCUUUUCUAUUUUAUUUCUGGUUUCUUUUACUUUUAGCUUUAUAAAAUUUAAAAGCGACAACUAAUUUGGUGUUAUUAAAUAGGUCACAGCCCCAACUAUUUUGGCACUUUAAAUAAAGUAUUUUGCAUCUGCUUAUUAUUUUAAAAGCAUUUUAGAUAAUUGUUUUAUCGAUGUUUUAGUUUAUUUAGUGCAUUUAAGUAUUUUAUUAAAAGAUGAUUUCUUCACCAACAUUUAUUAUGGAUUAUUUGACACAUUAGGAACAAUUUAGUUUUGACUUUUGAAAACUUUAUUUGUUUUGACUUUAAUUCAAAUUUGAAUUUGGAUCGGUUCUGAACUAACGUGAGAUUAGCGACAGUAAUCGUGGUGACGUGGCACCAUUAGCAGAGUUUCACUAUAGCUUAACUAUCCGGGCGUCACAAAUUUCUAUGCUAGGUUGAAGCUUCUGUCACUCUUGCCAUCCAAUACAUAGUCCUAUCAGCAUACAACUAACCCUAUGGUGUGAUCCACGCACGCGCUCAUAUGAUGGGCACCAAAGGACAGCAACAUAACCACAAGCAAAUUAAACCAAUCAUAGCAAUUCACCAAUCACCGAAAGGACAACGAAAAUCUACUCAAACAUCAUAGGAUGGCAACACAUCAUUGGAUAAUAAUAUGAAGCAUAAAGCACCAUGUUCAAGUAGAGGGUACAGCGGGUUGCGGGAGAGUGGACUGCUGUAGAUAGAUGGGGGAAGGUGAUGAAGAUGUUGGUGAAGAUGACGGAGGUGUUGGUGUAGAUCGCGGUGAUGAUGAUGGCCCCGGCGGCGUUCCGGCGCCACCGGAAGCGAGGGGGAGAGCCCCCCUCCUUCUUCUUCUUCCUUGACCUUCUUCCUAGAUGGGAGAAGGGUUUCCCCUCUGGUACAUGGUCUCCAUGGCGUGGGAGGGGCGAGAGCCCCUCCGAGAUUGGAUCUGUCUCUCUGUUUCUGCGCUCUUGAUUCUGCCCUUUCACCGUUUCUUUUAUAACCAGAGAUCCGUAACUCCGAUUGGGCUGAAUUUUGGACACGAUCUCUAUCCGGAAAUUAGCUUUCUUGCGCCGUCAGAAGGGCUCAAACCGCCUUACGGGGUGGCCACGAGGGCCCAGAGUGCGCCUGACCCCCUGGGGCGCGCCCCCUGCCUCGUGGCCCCCUCGGGCAUCGUAUCGCGUUGAUUCUUCUUCCCAAAAAUCACAAAUAUUCCAAAAAAAUCUCCGUCAGUUUUUAUCCCAUUUGGACUACGAUUGAUAUGGGUUUUCUGUGAAACAAAAAUAUGCAACAAACAGGAACUGGCACUGGGCACUGGAUCAAUAUGUUAGUCCCAAAAAUAGUAUAAAAAGUUGCCAAAAGUAUAUGAAAGUUGCAUAAUAUUGGCAUGGAACAAUCAAAAAUUAUAGAUACGACGGAGACGUAUCAGGAAUCGAUCACGGAGGGCUUCUACAUCAACACCAUAUCCUCUUCGAUGAAGCGUGAGUAGUUUUCCACAGACCUUUGGGUCCAUAGUUAUUAGCUAGAUGGCUUCUCCUCUCUCUUUGAUUCUCAAUACAAAGUUCUCCUCGAUGUUCUUGGAGAUCUAUUCGAUGUAAUACUUUUUGCGGUGUGUUUGCCGAGAUCCGAUGAAUUGUGGAUUUAUGAUCAAGAUUAUCUAUGAAUAAUAUUUGGUUCUUCUCUGAAUUCUUAUAUGCAUGAUUUGAUAUCUUUGCAAGUCUCUUCGAAUUAUCGGUUUAGUUUGGCCUACUGGAUUGAUCUUUCUUGCAAUGGGAGAAGUGCUUAGCUUUGGGUUCAAUCUUGCGGUGUCCUUUCCCAGUGACAGUAGGGGCAGCAAGGCACGUAUUGUAUUGUUGCCAUCGAGGAUAAAAAGAUGGGGUUUAUAUCAUAUUGUUUGAGUUUAUCCCUCUACAUCAUGUCAUCUUGCUUAAUGUGUUACUCUGUUCUUAUGAACUUAAUACUCUAGAUGCAUGCUGGAUAGCGGUCGAUGUGUGGAGUAAUAGUAGUAGAUGCAGAAUCGUUUCGGUCUACUUGACAUGGACGUGAUGCCUAUAUUCAUGAUCAUUGCCUAGAUAUUCUCAUAACUAUGCGCUUUUCUAUCAAUUGCUCGGCAGUAAUUUGUUCACCCACCGUAAUACAUGCUAUCUUGAGAGAAGCCACUAGUGAAACAUAUUGUCCCCCGGGUCUAUUUUACAUUACAUAAGUUUCUGAUCUAUAAUUCUAGUUUCCUAUUUAUUUUAUUUUGCAAUCUUUACUUUCCAAUCUAUACAACAAAAAUAUCAAAAAUAUUUAAUUUUGCGAGUGACCGUGAAGGGAUUGACAACCCCUUUAUCGCGUUGGUUGCAAGGUUCUUGAUUGUUUGUGCAGGUACUAGGUGACUUGCGUGUAAUCUCCUACUGGAUUGAUACCUUGGUUCUCAAAAACUGAGGGAAAUACUUACGCUACUUUGCUGCAUCACCCUUUCCUCUUCAAGGGAAAACCAACGCAUGCUCAAGAGGUAACAAGAAGGAUUUCUGGCGUCGUUGACGGGGAGAUCUACGCUCAAGUCAAGACAUACCAAGUACCCAUCAUAAACUCUUCUCCCUCGCAUUACAUUAUUUGCCAUUCGCCUCUCGUUUUCCUCUCCCCCACUUCUAAAAAGAUUUUCAAAAACCUUUGCCUUUCUAUCGUCAUGGCCGUACCAAAAGGGGCUAAGGGUUUUCUCCCGGGUUUUAAUACUUUGGAUAGUCCCUCUAUCCUUUCUAAGCUCAUAAAUAAUGAUGCUAUGGAAAGACCUACCGGGGUUAUCGAUGAGAGUUUGAAUAAUUUCGAUGAAGAUGACCCUGGAAUUUUUCGUUAUUUGCUUGAUGAAACUUUGAAAGAUGCUUGGGAUAGGCUAUUGAGGAUCCAAGCCAGCUAUGUGCCCCAAUAUCAAAUCGAGAUAUACUUAAAAAGUUUUUAUGUUGGCUUACUGUCGCGGAAUUGUCACGGCAGAUGUCCUAGUGAAAGGACUUAGUCAUGGAGCCAUCGCAACAGGUUAGCUAAAGGGGUUAAACCGGACAAGGGACACGAGAGUUUUAUACUAGUUCGGCCCCUUACAAUGAAGGUAAAAUCCUACGUCUAGUUGUGAUGGAAUUGCUGGGGUUUCGAUGAUCAGGGAGCAAAUAUGCUUCGCGUGAGUCUCGAGUUGUUAUCUGUUGUCCUUGAACCGCCGCCGGGUCGUGCCUUUAUAUACACAGGUCGACGCCCGCCGGCUUACAGAGUCCCAACGCCGGUUUAUACACAUAUCGGCCUGGUCUCUACUUAGUCAUGCCUUAUAAUACAAGUCAUGAAUUACAUGGCGGUUUAUAACUACAGGCUUUAAUCUACCUUUGAGCCUUGGGCCUUCAAGUCUCUGUAAUAAUCCGCUUUAUCCUUGUCUUCAUGGGCUUUAAGCAUAAACAAUCCAUUAUGGGGAUAACCCGGCUAUCUUGGCCGGUUUACACCUAGUAGUAAUAUCCCCAACAUUAGGCCCCAGAUUGAUUUGAACUGGUUCAUGUCAAUCUCCAAAACCUUGAGAAAAUUUCUUCUUCCAUAUCUUCGCAUAAAUCUUGUAAACCGCCAUGACGUCAUCAUCCAGAAUCAUAAUAAACCGCCAUGACGUCACUUGUUAUUUUAAAUGGUAUAUUCCUCACCUUCAUUAAUGAGCCUCCGAUAAUCGAGGCGACAAAUCUGUCACAUAUCCAUUUGUUAAGCUCCUCGAUUCUCGUGCUUGACCCUUAUCCUUUCGUCAUACGGCCGAGGGCCCUUUCCAUCUCUCCCUUUUCCUCUUCAAGUCUUCUUCUUCCUCGCGACGCCUCAGUGCCCGAACUCCGCCGCCGCCGUCGACCUUCGCGUCUACACCAACCGAGGCCGCUGCAUCAACCUGUUUUGACCAGAGAACUACGACGCACCUCCGCUGUUCAGCAGCACCAGUAAGUAUUCCUCUCCUCGAACGUCAGAUCUGCAUUAGGGUUUCCAUUGUUCGUCGGUGUUCUUCACCGUUCAUCUUUCCUUUCCUAGAUCGCAUAGUUUUGAUCCGAAUCUGAUAGCAAAGGCGAGCUUCAGUAGUUUAGCGCCCCUUUUAAUCCUCAAAAAGCACCCUUUCCUGCAUAAGAUCCCAUCCAAGCAUAUGUGUUCUUCCACUGUCACGGCUUUAGGUUAGAUUUAUUUCCUCUUUUUAGAACUGUGGCAGAUCUAGAUUUAUAUCACCAAUUUGUGAAAUCUGUUUGCACCAUACUUAGAAAUUUUUGCAAAUGUGUAGCCUCUUUACCAUUGUGGGUGGUUUAUCCUUGAACCUGUGAUAACUCAUCAUAUACCAUUAGCCCUCUAUUAAACCGCCAACCUGUUUUAAACCGGAUAUUGUACUUCCAUCAUUGCACCGGUUUAUAAGUUAUAACCAUGAACUUUAAACCGGAUAUUGUGCUUUUUUCCAGCUUGUCACCAAAAAUGGCCAAACAAUUCUUUUCCUGUAAUUGGGUUCCUUCCCGGGUUACGGAAACGCAGCUGGCUGGUUAUGUUUCAACGGGCGCUUUAGCAAGUAAGAACACUAUCCAUUGGCGAGUCCCCGGCCUAGAAUCUCCUCCUGAACCCCAAGACGAAGAAGUUAUUGUAUUUGUUGAUCACCUAAGCCGAGGCUUCACUCCUCCCGGAUCAAAAUUCUUCCGUGACGUGCUUGCCGCCUUUCAAAUCCAUCCCCAAGGCAUCGGUCCAAACUCCAUAUCCAAUAUUUGUGACUGGCAAGUAUUCUAUGAGGUAUACCUGCAAGAGGAGCCUAUUGUUGAUCUGUUCCGGGAUUUCUUUUAUCUAAACCGCCAUACUGAGUUUACGGAUGGCCCCAAUACUGAACUAGGUGGGGUUUCAAUUCAGAAGAGGAGAGAUGUUGAUUUCCCUCAUGCCAAGCUUCAUAGUCAUCCUAAGGACUGGAAUCAGACUUGGUUCUACUGCCGCAACACAGCUCCAGUCAAUGAAAAUCCUUUGCCGGGUUACCGUCCACAGCGGCUUACCCAAACUCAUCCCUUUCCUCAGCGGUUGACGGCCCAAGAGCGAGCAAAAUAUGCCCCUCAACUAGCCAAGCUCAGAGCGUUUAUUGCAAAUGGGCUGACAGGCGUGGAUUUUGUCCGAUGCUGGGUUUCAUGGAGCAUUUUACCUUUAAGCCGGCGGCCCGGUUUAAUGUGUGAAUACACAGAGGAUCUGAAAGACCCGCAACGCCAUAUUGACAUCCAGCUGACUGAUGAUGAAGUCACUGAAGCUGUUAAAAAGAUGCUUAAUGAACCAAUAGACGCAUGCAGCAAAACCGGGCUCAGUCCUUUCUAUGCUGCCAAUAAACCGCCAAAGGUAUAAUCUUCCGUAUUUCUGCCUUUAACCAUCCUUUGUUAAAUUUUUCCUUUGAUGACUUAUUAUUUGUCUAUACAAGCCGAUGAUCCAUUCCGGAAGAGAAAAUCACAAGAUAAACCAAUAAAGAAUCCUCGGAUUAAGAUCAAGGCUUCAAAAAAGCCUGGAAAAAGAAGGAACGUUGAACCGUCUGAGCCUAUUAUUGAAGAUGAUCCGGAUUCAGAGGUAGAACUUGACUCUCUCAGUUCACUUUUUAUACACCUUAUUGACAAUGAUCAUUCUCAGGAUGAAGCGGAAGCCAGCCAUGUUGAUGAGGUAACUAUUCUUUCUUCUGAUUCUGAUCCUGUGCCAGUACCAAGAAUCCGUCGAGCCAUUCGAAAAGUAAAAUUUCCAUGCCCUCUUUCUUAUGUGGACCCGCACUUUCUUUUAAAGACACAGCAGCAUGAAGCUCGCCGCACAACUCGACAUAGCGGCCAAGUGGUGUCCUCCUCCGGUUUACCAAAUUCGCCGAUUCACAAACGCCGCCAAGAGGUUGCUUAUACUCCUGACACCCUUUACCCUAAGGUGGGUUACAUCCGAUAUCCUCUUAAUCCGUCUAACUCAAAUUAUCAGGGAACUUCCCAUUCAUCGUCCGGCGAGUCGUUAGCGACACAACUUCCUCCUCUGAAAACUGUCCCUGGGUAAUCAUAAUAUACUCUUAACUCUUUGGUCUUGUAUUAUUUUAUCAUAUUGAUCUUCGUGUCUGCUCUCUUUUUCAGUGCUAAAGCCAGACCAAGCAAGAAGGCUAAAUUGAACAAGCCAACCGACCAUGAACCGGCUACCGAGCCAGAGAAAACCCCAGAGGCUAUUGACCCGGAGGCUGACACUGUUACUGAUAAUCCGGAACCUCAAGCAACUGAUACACUUGUUGAACCGGUAUAAAAUAAUCUGCCAAGCCAGUCAGCUGAUCCACUUAGUCGAACUGUUGAUCCGCCGAGCCCGGCUAAAGAAUCUGAUAAACCGCCAAGUCCUGCCAAAACUACAGACGACGAUGUUGUCGUAACUGGCCUUGGUUUCAGCUCCUCUGGUCGUCCUGUCGCUUUAUCAAAGCAUAGCGCCAAAGAAAUUUCUGCUAUGGAUAAAGGGAAAUGGAAAUCCGAGCUAUCCAACUAUUCCAACCUCAGCGCUCAAGAGCUACAUUCUGGUUUUUUAAACCGCCUGUAUACAAACCGCGACUUUGAAGCCGGUUUAGUAGGCCUGAUGAAGGAGCGGUAUGAGGUAAAUGUCACUUUCCCUUUGCAUAAAUAUUCCAAUAGUCCUUUUGUUAAAACUGGUCCAAUAUAUCAACUCUAGUAGCCCCCAAGGGCCGGUUCAUAACAUUGGUUUGAACCGGGUCUUGAAUCGAUAUUUGCAUUUUGCUGGUGUAGCCCCCAUGAACCGGCUUAUAUCUUUUAGAAUGAACCGGUACAUCCUAUUAAUCUCACCACUUAUAAUGAUGACCAUCCAUCUGAAUCUGAAUGAAUACACAUUAGCCCCCAAGUAUCAAGUAGAUAACUUGUUACGUGCUUGAGACUUUAAAUGAAUAGCUGAUAAGAAGCAAUCCGCAUUAGCCCCCAAGUGUCAAGUAGAUAACUUGUUAUGUGGUUGAGACUUCAAUGUUGUAAUGCUAACUUAUUAUCUGUAUGCUUGCAGGCUGAGUUGUCCAAAAAAGACUCCCAAAUCACUGAUCUCAAAGAAAACAUCAAGUCUCAAGUGGACGAAACUUGCAAAGUUAAGAGCGAGCUGACCACCGCUUUAACAACCAUGGAGCAGCUGAAGGAAUUCUUCAAAGGUGAACGGCCAGAUUCGGCAACUGAAAAGACCACCUUGUUAAAGCGGGCAGAAGAUGCAGAGAACGCCCUUAAAUUGGCCACAGAAGAGCUGAGCAGCCUGAAGCGGCACAUUGAUGCUAUGACCUCUGCCAUCUUUGGUAACAACCUCUUCACCAAUCUGUAACAACACCAGCUAUAAAAACUUCUGGUUUAAUAAAAAUUGGAUCCUUUUGCAGGUAGCCGUGUUACUCAUCUUGGCACAAAUAUGCGCAAAAGAUUGAAGGUCGUCUAUACUUUGGCAGAGCAGCUUUAUACCGGCGUGCAACGGGCCAUCUGCACAGCUUCCAAUAACCAUCCACCACCGUCGCUAAUCAAGGAAACACUGGAAAAAUUGUCUAUGAUGCCUGCCCGGAUUGUGGAAUUGAAGAAAUCCGCUGCUAGGUCCGGUGCCCUUACUGCACUGGCGCGCGCCAAGGCCUGGAUCUCUGACCUUGAUCCGGAAGACAUUGGUAACGGUUACCCGAGUCAAAAAGAGGACAGUUCAGAAUUCAGCAAUGAUGAUCUCUGGGCUAUCACGAGAGAGAUGCGACCACUGGCAAGCAAAUUGGCUGAAGAUACUAACUUGUCAAUUUAUCAGAAUGUAUAUGAUGCCAGCAGCAAGCGAAUAAGUGCUCCAACUUAUGAUGUGGAAAAUCUGAUACCGUCGAUCCGUAAGUACACUUACGCUCCUGAUGUUGAACCGUCUGAUCUGAUACACGACGAAGCUGUCUUUCAAGCCUUAACAGGGAUUGAUUGGACAACUAUUAACUUCCAGCCGUUGGGCGGAGAGAAGGAGGAUGAACCGGCGCAAGAAGAUCCGCUACCUUCACAUCAACCUGAAGCAGAAUCAUAAUCCGGAACCCGGUUUAAUUUGUUCCUUCUAUUAUCCUUGAAAAACAAUCAUUCUUUUGGGCAGUCUAAACGCCUUGUAAUAGGCUAGCUUGAACAGCUGAUCUGAUAUGCCAUCAUGCAUACUUGUUGCACACAAUAUUAUUAGUCCAUCAUGCUAUAUUUGCUUAUGAUCUUUAUCGGUUUUAUACAGCCCUGUUUCUGCAUAAAACAAAGUGAAAAUUGUCCUGGCGGUUUACCGCUGGACGGGUCAUAACACCCAAUAUAUAGCCAAGGUUGAUAACCAUAGCUUUGAAUAAUGAAAUAUGAAACAUAUCAUACCUGUGAUAUUGAAUCACCUUGUUGGUCUACUAACAUUUUUGUAAUAAGGGUGAUAACCCAAAUAUUGAGUAUUGAUAACUCAACCCAUGUUACGCUGGUAAAAAACAAGCGAUGCCAGGUUAUGAUAAACACCGGAUGAUCAUCCUGGCAACUUAUAGUUAACUCCAGGCCGGGUUAAAUAACACCGAUUUAUACGGAUGACUUACAAUCAGGCCGGGCCAUUGGACGCCGGAUUAGCUCAAAACUUUAACAAGGGAGAAAAACAAAAUUGACCAAUAAAAACCAGAGAAUAAAGAAAAACUUGUAGUCGAGGCUUUUCAAGGGCUGCCAGGCCACUGAGUUAAACCGUUUUACAAAGCCUUUUAAGAUGGUCCUCAGUCUUUAACCAAUCGCUGGUCUAUCAUUGACAAGUUCAGGGUCAUAUGCGAUUGACUUGUCAAGUUGGCGGGUCAUACCAGGCUUACCUGGGCAGAGUGACUUACUUAAUGAAGGCAGGUUAACCCGGGGUUUUAGGUAUAUAUACCAGGCUUCCAAGCCAGGGCUUGAUAGCCUAUUGCAAGUGUAGAUUUUCUUUGUUCAUUGCGAUAGCAAAGAAUCCCCAAGCAACAUUUUGAGCUGUGCUCAACGGGUGCCUAUGUUUGAGUUGUUCUUGACAACACUCUUUGGCCCCUAAGUAAUGGCAUUGUGCCAGCCAAAAGGUGUAGCUAUGGUUGAACACAACCAAUCCCCCAAGUGACUUAAUGUCGUGGCUUUCGAGCCAGCCAAGAGGUGUAGCUAUGGUUCGAAUACGACCAAGCCCCCAAGUGACUUACUGUCGUGGCUUUUGAGCCAGCCAAGAGGUGUAGCUAUGGUUCGAAUAUGACCAAGCCCCCAAGUGACUUACUGUCGUGGCUUUUGAGCCAGCCAAGAGGUGUAGCUAUGGUUCGAAUACGACCAAGCCCCCAAGUGACUUAUAUUGAAUAGAUAGCUGUAAAGCUGAAUCAAAGGGUAAACCGGAUGUCGCUUCACAAACAGAAUCCUCCGUGUAACCACUCAUGAUAUGAGAAAAACAACAGAUACCCCGCUUUAGCUGGGGCUCCGAUUUAUUGCAUUGAUCAUAAUAUAUACAUCGUCAAAAUAUGUACAUGAUAGGAGCCUAUGGCUCAGGUGUAGUACGGCCGUAGAUGAGCUAUGUUCCACGGCCGGAUCGUCUCCUCCUCUGACUUGCGUGAGUCUUUAUGCUCUCGAACAUCAAUGAGGUAAUAUGAUCCGUUGUUCAGAUUCUUGCUGACCACAAAGGGCCCUUCCCAAGGCGGGGAUAACUUGUGCAUAUCGGUCUCAUCUUGGAUAAGCCGGAGCACUAGAUCGCCUUCUUGAAAAGUUCUGGUUUUAACUCGGCGACUAUGAUAACGCCGCAGGUCUUGCUGAUAAAUCGCCGAGCGAGCCGCCGCUACGUCCCAUUUCUCAUCCAACAGGUCCAACGCAUCCUGGCGUGCUCUUUCAUUAUCUGCUUCAACAUAAGCUGCCACUCGAGGUGAGUCAUGACGAAUAUCACUUGGAAGGACGGCUUCCACUCCAUAAACCAUGAAGAAGGGUGUAUAACCCGUAGAUCUAUUGGGGGUGGUGUUAAUGCUCCAUAAAACGGAAGGCAGCUCCUCAACCCAACAACCCGGUGUCCUCUGCAAAGGAACCAUAAGCCGGGGCUUGAUCCCCUUCAAGAUUUCCUGAUUAGCUCUCUCCGCUUGACCAUUAGACUGGGGGUGGGCCACUGAAGAGAUAUCAAGAAGGAUGUGCUCUCUUUGACAGAACUCCUCCAUAGCACCCUUGGAAAGAUUCGUGCCAUUGUCUGUUAUAAUGCUGUGUGGAUAACCAAAACGGAAUAUCACCUUCUUCAUAAAUUGAACCGCUGUGGCUGCAUCACAUUUGCUAACUGGCUCUGCCUCCACCCACUUGGUAAAUUUAUCAACCGCCACCAAGAGGUGGGUCUUCUUAUCCUUAGAUCUCUUAAAGGGUCCAACCAUAUCAAGCCCCCAGGUUGCAAACGGCUAGGUAAUUGGAAUCAUCCUCAGCUCCUGAGCCGGAACAUGAGCCCGGCGUGCAAACUUCUGACAGCCAUCGCACCUUUUAACCAAGUCCUCAGCAUCAGCAUGAGCCGUCAGCCAAUAGAAACCAUGACGAAAAGCCUUAGCCACCAAGGACUUUGAACCGGCAUGAUGACCACAAUCACCUUCGUGAAUCUCGCGUAAAAUUUCGCGACCUUCUUCAGGAGAAACACAACGUUGAAAAGCCCCUGAGAUACUGCAAUGAUGUAGCUCGCUGUUGACAAUAGUCAUGGACUUGGAACGCCGCAUUAUCUGCCUGGCCAGAACUUCAUCCUCUGGUAAUUCACCCCGGUUCAUAUACGCCAAUAUGGGAUCGUCCAAUCCGGGGUGACAUGAAGCGCCGCCACCAACUGAGCCUCCGGAUCAGGAAUAGCUAAGUCUUCCUCCGUGGGUAGCUUGACCGACGGGUUAUGCAAAACAUCAAGGAAAGCAUUAGGCGGCACCGGUUUACGCUGGGAGCCCAACCGGCUUAAAGCGUCCGCCACUUCAUUCUUUCGCCGGUCUACAUGAUCAACCUGAUAACCCUUGAAAUGACCUGCAACAAUAUCCACCUCUCAACGAUACGCUGCCAUGAGGGGGUCCUUGGAAUCCCAAGUACCAGAAACUUGUUGAGCCACUAGGUCCGAGUCACCAAAACAUUUAACCCGGCUCAGAUUCAUCUCCUUAGCCAUCCGAAGACCAUGGAGCAGGGCCUCGUACUCAGCUGCAUUAUUAGUACAAGGAAACAUCAAGCGGAGAACAUAACAAAAUUUGUCACCUCGAGGGGAAGUAAGAACUACUCAAGCCCCCGAGCCCUCCAAUUGCUUGGAUCCGUCGAAAUGAAUUGUCCAGUAUGUGUUAUCUGGUCUAUCCUCCGGCACCUGCAACUCUGUCCAGUCAUUGAUGAAGUCCACGAGUGCUUGAGACUUGACGGCCGUGCGAGGCAUAUAUUUUAAUCCGUGAGGCCCAAGCUCAAUAGCCCACUUAGCGACCCGGCCGGUCGCUUCUCUGUUCUGGAUGAUAUCUCCCAAAGGAGCAGAAUUGACCACCGUAAUGGGAUGGCCCUGAAAGUAUUGCUUUAGCUUCCGGCUCGCCAUAAAAACCCCAUAUACAAGCUUCUGCCAAUGUGGAUAUCUCUAUUUUGACUCAAUGAGCACCUCACUGAUAUAAUAAACCGGCCAUUGAACCGGAUACUCCUUUCCUGCCUCCUUGCGCUCCACCACAAUAGCCACGCUGGCAGCUCGAGCAUUAGCAGCCACAUAUAACAGCAAUGGUUCCUUGUCCAUGGGAGCAGCAAGAACAGGUGGUUCGGCAAGCUGCCGCUUCAGAUCCUCAAAUGCUUCAUUAGCCGCAUCACUCCAAACAAAGUUGUCUGUUUUCUUCAGCACUUGAUAUAAAGGGAUGGCCUUCUCCCCGAGACGACUUAUAGACCGACUCAAUGCUGCAAUCCGGCCUGCAAGUCGCUGAACAUCGUUGAUGCACUUCGGUUUAGUCAGUGAAGUAAUAGCCUUGAUCUUCUCCGGAUUAGCUCCAAUGCCCCUGUUAGAUACCAGAAAACCCAAAAGCUUGCCUGCUGGCACACCAAAAACACACUUGGCCGGGUUGAGCAUCAUCUUAUAAACCCGGAGGUUAUCAAAGGUCUCCUUUAAAUCAUCUAUUAAUGUUUCCUCCUUCCUAUACUUCACCACAAUAUCAUCCACAUAAGCAUGGACGUUGCGCCCAAUCUGGUUAUGAAGACAAUUCUGAACACAGCGCUGAUAAGUUGCCUGGGCACUCUUGAGCCCAAAGGGCAUGGACACAUAGCAGAAGGCUCCAAAGGGAGUUAUAAAAGCUGUCUUCUCUUGGUCCUUCACUGCCAUCUUAAUAUGAUGAUAACCUGAAUAAGCAUCCAGAAAACUCAAACGCUCACAACCCGCCGUAGCAUCAAUGAUUUGAUCGAUACGGGGGAGGGCAAAAGGAUCCGUCGGACAUGCUUUGUUCAAAUCCGUGUAAUCUACACACAUACGCCAGGUGCCAUUCUUCUUAAGCACCAGCACCGGAUUAGCCAACCACUCCGGAUGAAAAACUUCAACAAUGAACCCUGCCGCCAAGAGCCGGGCUACCUCCUCACCAAUAGCCUUGCGCCUCUCUUCAUUGAACCGGCGAAGGAAUUGUUGGACCGGUUUAAACUUGGGAUGAAUAUUCAGGGUGUGCUCAGCGAGUUCCCUCGGUACACCUGGCAUGUCAGAAGGCUUCCAUGCAAAGAUAUCCCGAUUCUCACGGACGAACUCGAUGAGCGCGCUUUCCUAUUUCGGAUCCAGAUUUGCACUGAUGAUGAACUAUUUAGAUGAAUCGCCGGGCACAAAAUCAACCAUCUUAGUCUCAUCAGCCGAUUUAAACUUCAAGGCCGGAUCAUGCUCCGUGGUUGGUUUCUUCAAGGAAGUCAUGUCCGCCGGAUCAACGUUGUCCUUAUAGAACUUCAACUCCUCUGCUGCACAAACCGACUCAGCAUAGGCCGCAUCACCUUCCUCACACUCCAAAGCGAUCUUGCGGCUUCCAUGUAUUGUGAUAGUCCCUUUAUGACCCGGCAUCUUGAGCUGCAGAUAAACAUAACAGGGUCGUGCCAUGAACUUAGCAUAAGCUGGCCGCCCAAACAAGGCAUGAUACGGGCUUUGGAUUUUCACCACUUCGAAAGUCAAUGUCUCUGAUCUUGAGUCAUACUCAUCUCCAAAAGCGACCUCCAGAGCUAUUUUACCAACCGGAUAGGCUGAUUUGCCGGGCACCACACCAUGGAAAAUAGUGUUCGACGGUUUAAGGUUCUUAUCUGUCAAUCCCAUACGACGGAAGGUGUCAUAAUAUAAUAUGUUGAUACUGCUGCCUCCGUCCAUGAGCACCUUAGUGAACUUAUAACCUCCAACCUGAGGUGCCACCACCAACGCCAAAUGACCCGGAUUGUCAACCCGGGGCGGGUGAUCCUCUCGGCUCCAGACGAUAGGCUGCUCAUACCAUCGUAAAUAAUGAGGCACUGCCGGUUCAACCGAGUUCACCGCUCGUUUAUGAAGCUUCUGAUCGCGCUUGCAUAAGCUGGUGGUGAAAACGUGGUACUGUCCACCAUUCAACUGCUUUGGGUGACUUUGGUACCCUGACUGUUGCUACUGUGGUCCUUGUUGGCUAUAACCACCCUGGUUGCUCUGAUUGCCUUGAUUGCCAUGUCUGCCCUGAUUGCCUUGGAAUCCUGAACCGGGAUUGCCUCCUCCAUAACCCGGCCCAUAGGACCCGGGUCCCGAACCGCCGGAUGGUCCAUGAUCAUUCCGGAAGAGGUCUGAAUUUUUGAAUUCUCGCAUGAUGUAACAAUCUUUCCAGAGGUGCGUGGUCGGUUUAUCCGGCGUUCCAGGAUGCUUCGGGCAGGGUUGGUUCAACAGGUAAUUCAGGCGCUCCGGAUUAGGACUGGGCUCUGCCCUUCUCGGGGGCAGCUUUCCUUUACGACACUGACCAUUACCUUGUGUAUUGGUGUUAGCCACAAAAUCUGAAUUAUGAUCUGCUUUCCGCUUACCAUUAUUAUUGUGGCCCAUCGGGUUAUGUUGCUGCCCCUUGGCGUUGCCGCUCUUCUUUCCCUUCCCCGGCUUGUCAUCGUCAGACUCGGGGUCCUUGGUACUAUCAGAAUCAGCAUACUUAACCAGAGUAGCCAUAAGUGUUCCUAUAUCAUUGCAGUGACGCUUGAGCCGUCCCAACUUCAACUUUAAAGGCUGAAACUGACAAUUCCCCUCGAAUGUUAUAAUCGCCGAGUCGGCUUUGAUGUGAUCCGAAGAAUGUAAGAUCUCUGAAACCCGGCGCACCCAAUGGGUUGUUGACUCGCCUUCUCCCUGGACGCAGGCGGCUAAGUCCACAAUUGACAUAGGUUGCUUGCAUGUGUCUUUGAAGUUUGCUAUAAACCGGGCUUUCAACUCAGCCCAUGUCUCGAUGGAAUUAACUGGUAAGUCUUUCAACCACGUGCGAGCUGUUCCAUCCAACAUCAUAGCGAAAUAUUUCGCGCAGGCCGCUUCAUUCACAUCUAACAUCUCCAUAGCCAUCUCAUAACUCUCGAUCCAUGACUCAGGAGGCAAAUCAGCGGUGUAAUUAGGCACCUUACGGGGGCCCUUGAAAUCCUUGGGCAGCCGUACAUUGCGCAAAGCCGGGACGAGGCAGGGCACCCCCCAAGAGCUGAAAGUAAGGCCUUGCUCUACGGAAACCACCGGACGAACCAGAGUGAGCUGACGGUCCUGCGCAGCUAACUCGGCUUCACGACAUGCUCCGUUGUUCACCACAUCCUGAGCAUGUGCCCCACCACGCGCCGAAUUAGGCCCUCGAGGAGCGUCUCGGUUCCGCGCACUGCUUGACACAGCCGGUUCAUCAAUGUGCCUGCUAUAACUCUGGCUCGGGCGUGGGGUUGAAUGAAUUCUGUCUCGGCUGUAUGAAUAAGCCUGCUGCUGCAUCAUAGCCGUCUGAAGAAGAUCUCUAGCACGCCGCGUCUCAACCAUCGCUGGGGAUUCACCCUCCAUUGGGAUAGCGGCUAAUUGUGAUGCGGUCGCGAUCAUAUUAUCCAAAGGGGUGGAGAAGUGACCCGGCGGUGCCGGUACAAUCUGCAGCGGGUUAUGGGUCCUUCGAGGGGGAUCCGUCAUCCGUGGCUGGUCCGGUGCUCUGGCCCUCGGCGCCUCAAUCCGGUUCACCGCUGCCGGAUUACUGGUUCCUGCUCCUGGCGUUCCAAAGAGAUUCAUUGCCUCAUAAACCGGUGGUAGUCGUGACUAAUGCCUUCUCCUUAACACGUCAUUUGAAGCGUUCUGAUCCAACAGGAGUCGAUAAUUUUCUGCCUGAAUCCGCUGUGCUUGUGCCUCUAAAGCGACCCGCUCCUGAGCCAUCAUGGUUUCUUCAGCCGCUAAGUCCUCCUUAGCUUGAGUUAUCUGAUCCUGCAGCUUCGCCACCUCCGCAUUAUCAGCUUCGCCACCUCCGCAUUAUGCUGAUCUUGCGUAUCGGCGGUAACUUGUGUGGUCAGUAAGGCCGUCCAGGCGUCCAAUAAAUCGGACAAGAUUUGGGCCGGCCGGCGCGCGGGGCCUCCCGCCCCAGCUGCCGAUCCGGAAAUUAUUGCUGCUGCGGUUGAAGAUUGCAACGUGGGCUGAGUUCCAGCCAUGAAGAUCGCAACCCGGUUUGCCGGUUCAAAGGGGUCCGGAAUACUGUCGCCAUCGGAAUAGCCCCCAAACUGGCCAUCUUGCAGUUGGUACUGUGACUCGGUCUCCCCGGUGGACGACUCGUCAUCUGAGUGGAUGACGGUCUCGCCAUCGGACGCCGGUUCAAGUUCCGUACCAUUGAUGAAGCCUACGAAUGCACAUUUCACGGUGGGCUGAACCCGGGCAGGGCUUGCACGCUGAGCCGUCUCGACGAGGUCGGUGCAUAUGUCCGGCUCAGGGCCCGGUUCGCCGAUCUUGCCGAUGAAGACGUGAAUUCCUCCAAAGGGGACCCGGUACCCGUACUCGAUUGAGCCGGCCUCGGGGCCCCAGCCUGCAUCGUCGAUGUAGAGCUUGCCGCGACGACUCUUGGUCAUCCGGCCCACGGCGUAUCCCUUGAGCCCUUCGAAAUUGCCCUUCAAGAACUCGAAACCAUUGCGCGAUAGCCCCACGGUGGGCGCCAACUAUCGCGGAAUUCUCACGGCAGAUGUCCUAGUGAAAGGACUUAGUCGUGGAGCCAUCGCAAUGGGUUAGCUUAAAGGGGUUAAACCGGACAAGGGACACGAGAGUUUUAUACUAGGUCGGCCCCUUACGAUGAAGGUAAAAGCCUACGUCUAGUUGUGAUGGAAUUGCUGGGGUUUCAAUGAUCAGGGAGCAAAUAUGCUUCGCCUGAGUCUCGAGUUGUUAUCUGUUGUCCUUGAACCACCGCCGGGUCGUUCCUUUAUAUACACAGGUCGACGCCCGCCGGCUUACAGAGUCCCGACGCCGGUUUAUACACAUACCGGCCCGGUCUCUACUUCGUCGUGCCUUAUAAUACAAGUCAUGAAUUACAUGGUGGUUUAUAACUACAGGCUUUAAUCUACCUUUGAGCCUUGGGCCUUCAAGUCUCUGUAAUAAUCCGCUUUAUCCUUGUCUUCAUGGGCUUUAAGCAUAAACAAUCCAUUAUGGGGAUAACCCGGCUAUCUUGGCCGGUUUACACCUAGUAGUAAUAUCCCCAACACUUACCAUCUUCUUUCAAGCAAGUUUUGGAUUCUAUUUUUGAAGAAGGUUCUCUUGAGGGGGGUGCCAUCGAUACCUAUGAAAAGAUGAAAACUAUAUUUGGGCACCCUAUGAGUGAAAAGGUUGAAUCUACUUCUCUUUUGUGUUUUUAUCAGAAUGAAAUUAUCAAAGAGAUGAAGGCCAGUUUAGAUGCAAAUUUUCGUAGUGUGCUUAAUCUUUCUUCUACCAUUAAUGGCCACGUGCUUUCACAAAAUAGAAAGAUAAGUGCUUUAGAUAAUAAACUUUCUCUUUAUCACCAAAAGGGAGAAGAUGGCAAUACCUAGAUCUAUUCUUGUUUUUAUGCCUAGCUAGGGGCGUUAAACGAUAGCGCUUGUUGGGAGGCAACCCAACUUUAUUUUUGUUCUUCAUUUUUUGUUCCUGAUUAGUAAUAAAUAAUUCAUAUAGCCUAUUUUUAGAUGUGGUUUUAUGUUUUAAUUAGUGUUUGUGCCAAGUAGAACCUUUGGGAAGACAUGGGUGAAGUCUUUGCAAUCUUGCUGCAAAAAACAGAAACUUUUGCGCUCACAAGAUUAGAUGCCAUUUUUUACUGGAGAGUGAUUUUAGGUUGAUUCUUUUUUAAGAUGAUUAAUCGACAAAUUACUCACGUCCACCAAUUUAUUUCAGAAUUUUUGGAGUUCGAGAAGUAUUCGUUUGAUACAGAUUUCUACAGACUGUUCUGUUUUGACAGAUUCUGUUUUUCGUGUGUUGUUUGCUUAUUUUGAUGAAUCUAUGAGUAGUAUCGGGGGGUAUGAACCAUAGAGAAGUUAGAAUACAUUAGGUUUAACACCAAUAUAAAUAAAGAAUGAUUUCAUUACAGUACCUUAAAGUGGUGGUUUAUUUUCUUAUACUAACGGAGCUCAUGAGAUUUUCUGUUUAAGUUUUGUGUUGUGUAGUUUUCAAGUUUUGAGUAAAGAUUUCAUGGAUUUUGGAAUAAGGAGUGGAAAGAGCCUAAGCUUGGGGAUGCCCAAGGCACCCCAAGGUAAAAUUCAAGGACAACCAAAAGCCUAAGCUUGGGGAUGCCCCGGAAGGCAUCCCCUCUUUCGUCUUCGUAUAUCGGUAACUUUACUUGAGGCUAUAUUUUUAUUCACCACAUGAUAUGUGUUUUGCUUGGAGCGUCUUGUAUGAUUUGAGUCUUUGCUUUUUAGUUUACCACAAUCAUCCUUGUUGUACACACCUUUUGGAGAGACACGCAUGAAUCAGAAUUUAUUAGAAUACUCUAUGUGCUUUGAUGUCUCCUACGCAACCUUCUUCUUGUAGACGUUGUUGGGCCUCCGGUCAAAAAAAUGAUGAUCAUCACACUUUUAUUUACUUACAACUCAAGAAUUAUAACUCGGCGCUUAGAACAAAAUAUGACUCUAUAUGAAUGCCUCCGAUGGUGUACCAGGAUGUGCAAUGACUCAUGAGUGACAUGUAUGAAAGAAUUAUGAACGGUGGCUUUGCCACAAAUACAAUGUCAACUACAUGAUCAUGCAAAGCAAUAUGACAAUGAUGGAGCGUGUCAUAAUAAACGGAACGGUGGAAAGUUGCAUGGCAAUAUAUCUCGGAAUGGCUAUGGAAAUGCCAUAAUAGGUAGGUAUGGUGGCUGUUUUGAGGAAGGUAUAUGGUGGGUGUGUGAUGCCAGCGAAAGGUGCGCGGUAUUAGAGAGGCUAGCAAUGGUGGAAGGGUGAGAGUGCAUAUAAUCCAUGGACUCAACAUUAGUCAUAAAGAACUCAUAUACUUAUUGCCAAAAUCUAUUAGUUAUCGAAACGAAGUACUACGCGCAUGCUCCUAGGGGGAUAGAUUGGUAGGAAAAGACCAUUGCUCGUCCCCGACCGCCACUCAUAAGGAGGACAAUCAAUAAUAAAUCAUGCUCCGACUUCAUCACAUAACGGUUCACCAUACGUGCAUGCUACGGGAAUCACAAACUUUAACACAAGUAUUUCUCAAAUUCACAACUACUCAACUAGCAUGACUCUAAUAUCACCAUCUUCAUAUCUCAAAACAAUCAUAAGGAAUCAAACUUCUCAUAGUAUUCAAUGCACUUUAUAUGAAAGUUUUUAUUAUAUCCCUCUUGGAUGCCUAUCAUAUUAGGACUAAAUUCAUAACCAAAGCAAAUUACCAUGUUGUUCUAAGGACUCUCAAAAUAAUAUAAGUGAAGCAUGAGAGUUCAUCUAUUUCUCCAAAAUAAAACUACCGUCGUGCUCUAAAAAGAUAUAAGUGAAGCACUAGAGCAAACGACAAACUACUCCGAAAGAUAUAAGUGAAGAUCAAUGAGUAGUCGAAUAAUUAUGCAACUAUGUGAAGACUCUCUAACAUUUAAGAAUUUCAGACCUUGGUAUUUUAUUCAUACAGCAAGCAAAACAAAAUAAAAUGACAUUUCAAGGAUAGCACUCAGCAUGUGAAGAAGCAAAAACUUAGGCUCAACCGAUACUAACCGAUAAUUGUUGAAGAAGAAAGGUGGGAUGCCUACCGGGGCAUACCCAAGCUUAGAUGCUUGAGACUUCUUGAAAUAUUAUCUUGGGAUGCCUUAGGCAUCCCCAAGCUUGAGCUUUUGUGUCUCCUUAAUUCCUCUCAUAUCACGGUCUCCCUAAAUCUCAAGAGCUUCAUCCACACAAAACUCAACAAGGACUCGUGAGAUAAGUUAGUAUAAACCAAUGCAAAAACCUUAUCAUACUCUACUGUAGCAAAUCACUAAAAUUAUUAUUCAACAUUGCAUAGUAAAUGCCUCUGCAUAUUUAAUACUCCUAUCCUCAAAUAGAAUCAUUAAACAAGCAAACAUAUGCAAACAACGCAAACAUAACAGCAAUCUGCCAUAACAGUACAGUCUGUAAAGAAUGCAGCAAGAUACAUACUUCCCUAGCUCCAAAAAUUAUGAAAGAAAAUUCCCACUGUAGUAAAUUUAUCAAAUCUUAUUAUGCAAAAGGUUUCAACAUUUUAUCACAUUCUGAAUUUUCUAGGGAAUUUUUGCAACAGCGGUAAACUUUCUGUUUUAAAACAGCAAUAUGUAUACUUGCAAAAUAUGCAUGGUAAAAGCUAUCCUUGACAUUUUUAUCGAAACUAGAGAUGAAAAACAUUAUUCUAAAUAACAGCAAACAAAAUAAAAUGACGCUCCAAGAAAAACACAUAUCAGGUGGUGAAUAAAAAUAUAGCUCCAAGUAAAGUUACCGAUGAACGAAGACGAAAGAGGGGAUACCAUCCAGGGCAUCCCCAAGCUUAGGCUCUUGGUUGUCCUUGAAUAUUACCUUGGGGUGCCUUGGGCAUCCCCAAGCUUAGGUUCUUUCCACUCCUUAUUCCAUAGUCCAUCGAAUCUUUACCCAAAACUUGAAAACUUCACAACACAAAACUUAACAGAAAAUCUCGUGAGCUCCGUUAGAAAAAGAAAAAAAAAACACCACUUAAAGGUACUGUAAUGAACUCAUUCUUUAUUUAUAUUGGUGUUAAACCUACUGUAUUCCAACUUAUCUAUGGUUCAUACCCUCCGAUACUACUCAUAGAUUCAUCAAAAUAAGCAAACAACACAUAGAAAACAGAAUCUGUCAAAAACAGAACAGUCUGUAGUAAUCUGUAACUAACGCAAACUUCUGGAACUCAGAAAAAUCUACCAAAAUAGGAAGACCUAGAUAAUUUGAUUAUUGAUCUGAUGCAAUUGGAAUCAAUAUUUUAUCACGUUCUUGUGAUUUUAAAAAAAAAUCGUGAACAGAAAGUUUCUGGAAUUUUCAGCAAGAUCAAAUAACUAUCAUCCAAGAAGAUCCUAUAGGUCUUACUUGGCACAAACACUAAUUAAAACAUAAAACCACAUCUAAACAGAGGCUAGAUAAAAAAUUUAUUAAUAAACAGAACCAAAAAGAAAGAACAAAAAUAAAAAUUGGGCUGCCUCCCAACAAGCGCUAACGUUUAACGCCCCUAGCUAGGCAUGAUGAUUUCAAUGAUGCUCACAUAAAAGAUAAGAAUUGAAACAUAAAGAGAGCAUCAUGAAGAAUAUGACUAGCACAUUUAAGUCUAACCCACUUCCUAUGCAUAGGGAUUUUGUGAGCAAAAAACUUAUAGGAACAAUAAUCAACUAGCAUAGGAAGGCAAAACAAGCAUAACUUCAAAACUUGAAGCACAUAGAGAGGAAACUUGAUAUUAUUGCAAUUCCUACAAGCAUAUAUUCCUCCCUCAUAAUAAUUUUCAGUAGCAUCAUGAAUGAAUUCAACAAUAUAACCAUCACAUAAAGCAUUCUUUUCAUGAUCUAUAAGCAUAUAAUUUUUAUUACUCUCCACAUAAGCAAAUUUAUUCUCAUCAAUAGUAGUGGGAGCAAACUCAACAAAAUAACUAUCAUGUGAUUGAAAAUUCAGAUCAAGAUGACAAGUUUCAUGGUUAUCAUUAUUCUUUAAAGCAUACGUGUCAUCACAAUAAUCAUCAUAGAUUGGAGGCAUGCUUUCAUCAUAGUAAAUUUGCUCAUCAAAGCUUGGGGGGCAAAAAAUAUCAUCUUCAUCAAACAUAGCUUCCCCAAGCUUGUGGCUUUGCAUAUCAUUAGCAUCAUGGAUAUUCAAGGAAUUCAUACUAACAACAUUGCAAUCAUGCUCAUCAUUCAAAGAUUUAGUGCCAAACAUUUUAUAGAUUUCUUCUUCUAGCACUUGAGCACAAUUUUCCUUUCCAUCAUUCUCACGAAAGAUAUUAAAAAGAUGAAGCGUAUGAGACAAACUCAAUUCCAUUUUUUUAUAGUUUUAUUUUAUAAACUAAACUAGUGCUAAAACAAGAAACUAAAAGAUUCGAUUGCAAGAUCUAAAGAUAUACCUUCAAGCACUCACCCCCCCCCCCCGGCAACGGUGCCAGAAAANNNNNNNNNNNNNNNNNNNNNNNNNNNNNNNNNNNNNNNNNNNNNNNNNNNNNNNNNNNNNNNNNNNNNNNNNNNNNNNNNNNNNNNNNNNNNNNNNNNNNNNNNNNNNNNNNNNNNNNNNNNNNNNNNNNNNNNNNNNNNNNNNNNNNNNNNNNNNNNNNNNNNNNNNNNNNNNNNNNNNNNNNNNNNNNNNNNUUCUCACGAAAGAUAUUAAAAAGAUGAAGCGUAUGAGACAAACUCAAUUCCAUUUUUUUAUAGUUUUAUUUUAUAAACUAAACUAGUGCUAAAACAAGAAACUAAAAGAUUCGAUUGCAAGAUCUAAAGAUAUACCUUCAAGCACUCACCCCCCCCCCCGGCAACGGUGCCAGAAAAGAGCUUGAUGUCUACUACGCAACCUUCUUCUUGUAGACGUUGUUGGGCCUCCAAGUGCAGAGGUUUGUAGGGCAGUAGCAAAUUUCCCUCAAGUGGAUGACCUAAGGUUUAUCAAUCCGUGGGAGGCGUAGGGUGAAGAUGGUCUCUCUCAAGCAACCCUGCAAUCAAAUAACAAAGAGUCUCUUGUGUCCCCAACACACCCAAUACAAUGGUAAAUUGUAUAGGUGCACUAGUUCGGCGAAGAGAUGGUGAUACAAGUGCAAUAUGGAUGGUAGAUAUAGGUUUUUGUAAUCUGAAAAUAUAAAAACAGCAAGGUAGCAAGUGGUAAAAGUGAGCACAAACGGUAUUGCAAUGCGUUGAAACAAGGCCUAGGGUUCAUACUUUCACUAGUGCAAGUUCUCUCAACAAUAAUAACAUAAUUGGAUCAUAUAAAUAUCCCUCAACAUGCAACAAAGAGUCACUCCAAAGUCACUAAUAGCGGAGAACAAACGAAGAGAUUAUGGUAGGGUACGAGACCACCUCAAAGUUGUUCUUUCUGAUCGAUCUAUCAUAGAGUUCGUACUAGAAUAACACCUUAAGACACAAAUCAACCAAAACCCUAAUGUCACCUAGAUACUCCAUGUCACCUCAAGUAUCCGUGGGUAUGAUUAUACGAUAUGCAUCACACAAUCUCAGAUUCAUCUAUUCAACCAACACAUAGAACUUCAAAGAGUGCCCCAAAGUUUCUACCGGAGAGUCAAGACAAAAACGUGUGCCAACCCCUAUGCAUAGGUUCAUGGGCGGAACCCGCAAGUUGAUCACGAAAACAUACAUCAAGUGAAUCACGUGAAUAUCCCAUUGUCACCACACAUAAGCACGGCAAGACAUACAUCAAGUGUUCUCAAAUCCUUAAAGACUCAAUCCGAUAAGAUAACUUCGAAGGGAAAACUCAAUCCAUUACAAGAGAGUAGAGGGGGAGAAACAUCAUAAGAUCCAACUAUAAUAGCAAAGCUCGCGAUACAUCAGGAUCGUGCCAAAUCAAGAACACGAGAGAGAGAGAUCAAACACAUAGCUACUGGUACAUACCCUCAGCCCCGAGGGUGAACUACUCCCUCCUCGUCAUGGAGAGCGCCGGGAUGAUGAAGAUGGCCACCGGUGAGGGAUCCCCCCCCCCCUCCGGCAGGGUGCCGGAAUAGGGUCCCGAUUGGUUUUCGGUGGCUACAGAGGCUAGCGGCGGCGGAACUCCCGAUCUAUUCUGUUCCCCGAUGUUUUUAGGGUAUAUGGAUAUAUAUAGGCGAAAGAAGUCAGUCAGGGGAGCCACGAGGGGCCCACGAGGGUGGAGGGCCCGCCCAGGGGGGUGGGCGCGCCCCCUGCCUCGUGCUCUCCUCGUUGAUUCCCUCACGUGCACUCCAAGUCUCCUGGAUUGCUUCCGUUCCAAAAAUAACUCUCCUGAAGGUUUCAUUCCGUUUGGACUCCGUUUGAUAUUCCUUUUCUGCGAAACACUGAAACAAGGGAAAAAACAGAAACUGGCACUGGGUUCUGGGUUAAUAGGUUAGUCCCAAAAAUAAUAUAGAAGUGUUUAAUAAAGCCCAUAAACAUCCAAAACAGAUAAUAUAAUAGCAUGGAACAAUCAAAAAUUAUAGAUACGUUGGAGACGUAUCAUGCUUCACUUAUAUAUUUUGAGCUAGAUAAUUUUGCUCUAGUGCUUCAGUUAUAUCUUUUUAGAGCGCAGUGGUGGUUUUAUUUUAUAGAAAUUAUUGAUCUCUCAUGCUUCACUUAUAUAUUUUUUAGAGUCUUUUAGAACAGCAUGGUUAUUUGCUUUGGCUAUAAAAUUAGUCCUAAUAUGAUGAGCAUCCAAGAUGGGUAUAAUAAAAACUAUCAUAUAAAGUGCAUUGAAUACUAUGAGAAGUUUGAUUCAUUAUUAUUGUUUUGAGAUAUGAAGAUGGUGAUAUUAGAGUCAUGCUAGUUGAGUAGUUGUGAAUUUGAGAGAUACUUGUGUUAAAGUUUGUGAUUCCCGUAGCAUGCACGUAUGGUGAACCGUUAUGUGAUGAAGUCAGAGCAUGAUUUAUUUAUUGAUUGUCUUCCUUAUGAGUGGCGGUUGGGGACGAGCGAUGGUCUUUUCCUUCCAAUCUAUCCCCCUAGGAGCAUGCGCGUAGUACUUCGUUUCGAUAACUAAUAGAUUUUUGCAAUAAGUAUGUGAGUUUUUUAUGACUAAUGUUGAGUCCAUGGAUUAUACGCACUCUCACCCUUCCACCAUUGCUAGCCUCUCUAAUACCGCGCAACUUUCGCCGGUAUCAUACACCCACCAUAUACCUUCCUCAAAACAGCCACCAUACCUACAUAUUAUGGUAUUUCCAUAGCCAUUCCGAGAUAUAUUGCCAUGCAACUUUCCACCGUUCCGUUUAUUAUGACACGCUCCAUCAUUGUCAUAUUGCUUUGCACGAUCAUGUAGUUGACAUCAUGUAGCGACCAGACCUCAAACAGUCUAGUCUCUGUGCAUCAGUGUCAUCCCUGGAUCGGUAAUGCUGACACGCACAGUACUUGAAGGAUUUAUAACAGAGUAGAAAUCACACACUUAUUACAUCGAAUAGUCUCAAGAGAGAACUUAUUACAAUAAAUAUGGCUUAAGGCCAUCUAAUACGAUAACAGCGGAAGGCUUGGAAGAUAAAGUGAGUCCAUCAACUCCAACGACAUCAUUGAGUAUAAGACCACGACCUAUGGCACCUUAAUCGUCGUCUAAAAAGUCUGCAACAUGAACGUUGCAGCCCGAAAACGGGUCAGCACAUGGAAUAUGCUGGCAAAGUAACACAUAGAGAGUAAUGAGCAGAAUAAUGCUAACACUACAUGCAUAUUUGGCUGGUGGAAAGCUCUAUGGUUACAAUUUUGCGAAAAGCCAAUUUUUUCCUACAACAAAGGAAUGAAAUUUUAUUUAACUAUUAUGGUGGUUGUUAAACAUUGAGAAGGUUCACCCAACUCAAUCCCAAUUAAGCAAUCUUCAAUAAACCCAACAAAUUUAAUUAAGUAGCAUGAUGAGAUUCACAUGAUAAUCCAAAAACAAGAUACUCAAGAUGUCCAUAACCGGGGACACGGCUAACCAUGAUUAGAUUGUACACUCUGCAGAGGUUUGCGCACCUUUCCCCACAAGACUCGGUCUCCUCCGUUGGAUUUCUCGCACUUCAUGAUGUUUGAGAAACGGAUGACCGAGACACAGUCUUUCAGAAGCGUUAGCACCUUACGAUGGGUAGACAUUUACACCUACUUUCCCCUACAUCUGCUAGUCUACCACUGUAAGAGUUCACACGACUUAAUCAACUAUGCUAGAGCCCAUAAUAGCUUGUGGCUGCACAUGGAAGUUUCUAGCAUGAAUAAUCUCAUGAUCCCUUUGAGCCUGGGUGGUGGUCCAUAGGAGAAUCACACGGUACCCCGGGAUUUCCAAAAAAACAGGCAACACUGGGUUCCCCAGGUGCCUCAAUGCACCCAGAUGUGUAUUUAAGUAGCCACCUUAAGUUAACCAUUAAUCAACAAUCUCACAUCUGUCAUGUAAUCACUCAAACCCAAUCCACGUCUAUGAGCAUAGCAUAGCAAUAUAAGCAAACGUAGAAGUAACUCCCAAGGGUUUGAUAAUAAAACAGGUAAUAGGUACUACCUCAUCUACUUCCCAAAACCCACAAAUUAAACAGAUCCUAACCAUGCAAUAGUUUGAGGGUUGAUCUAAUGCAGUAAAACUGGGUGGUAAAGAGGUAUGAUCAAAGUGUUACUUGCCUUGCUGAUGAUCCAUGAAACCUAGAGACUCGUAGUAGCACGCUUCGCACUCCGGGUACUCUAUCGCAAACAAACAAUACAUACAUAAGCAAUCAAGCAGGGGUGCACGGGUAAAACUCAAAUGAGAGAUCUAACCAGGAAGUUCAACUUAAGAACUCCGGUUUGCAAAAAGAAUCCAAUCGAACGAAGCAACGAAACUCAAACGGCGAAAGAAACAAGCUCCAUUUACUAAUCUGGACCUAAGUCAAUUUUUACUGGACCAAAAACUUGUUCAAGUUGGUUAAACAGAAAGAGGGUAUCGAGACAAAACUCUAGGCGCUUGAAUCGCCUGAUUACGAUAAACGAGCGAAAAGUUAUACUAAAACAAAAAACAAAUCGGAAAUCGCGAUCGAAAAUAUUCGCGAAAAUUCCGAGAAAAAGAAAAACCGACGAACAGGCUAACGAACGAACGUUCGCUGUCUGCGGCUAAACGACGAAAACUGUUCGUUAAAACGAACGUACGGACGAACGUCCGCUAAAUAACUAAACCGAUAAAAAUAUAAACCGAACCAAUAAAAAACGGAUCUAGGUUUUUAAAAAACGAACGGUUUUAUAAAAAAACGGCGGCGGCUACCUCGAGUCCGGCGAGAUCUCCGGCGAGGCGGCGAGGUGGCGGCGGGGUCCGGCAGGGUCGGCUAGGGGCGGCAGGGCGGACGGCGGCNNNNNNNNNNNNNNNNNNNNNNNNNNNNNNNNNNNNNNNNNNNNNNNNNNNNNNNNNNNNNNNNNNNNNNNNNNNNNNNNNNNNNNNNNNNNNNNNNNNNNNNNNNNNNNNNNNNNNNNNNNNNNNNNNNNNNNNNNNNNNNNNNNNNNNNNNNNNNNNNNNNNNNNNNNNNNNNNNNNNNNNNNNNNNNNNNNNNNNNNNNNNNNNNNNNNNNNNNNNNNNNNNNNNNNNNNNNNNNNNNNNNNNNNNNNNNNNNNNNNNNNNNNNNNNNNNNNNNNNNNNNNNNNNNNNNNNNNNNNNNNNNNNNNNNNNNNNNNNNNNNNNNNNNNNNNNNNNNNNNNNNNNNNNNNNNNNNNNNNNNNNNNNNNNNNNNNNNNNNNNNNNNNNNNNNNNNNNNNNNNNNNNNNNNNNNNNNNNNNNNNNNNNNNNNNNNNNNNNNNNNNNNNNNNNNNNNNNNNNNNNNNNNNNNNNNNNNNNNNNNNNGGCGGCGGGGCGGCGGCUAGGGUUAGGGUUGGCGGCGGCGGCUCGGGUGGGCUGGGGGCGCCGGGGUCGUGGCUUAUAAGGGCCGGCCCGAGGAGUCCCGCUCGGGUACGGCCCGGAGUCGGUUGACUUUUUUUAAAAAAAACAAUUCGAACGUGCACAAAAAGAAAGAAAAGAAAUACUAAACGGACUCCAAAAAUCCCGAAAUAAAUUUUCCACGUCCUGUAAAAAUAAGCCGGACAAGAUGAACAUUUAUUUGGGCCUAAAAUGCAAUUUUGAAAAACGCAUAUUUUUCCUAGGCAAAUAAAAUAGAAAUAAAAUCCGAAUAAAAUCAAAAUAUUUGUUUUUAAUAUUUUUCCUCCAAUAUUUCAUUAUUUUUGGAGAAGCCAUAUUAUCCCCUCUCAUGUAUUUUGAUAUGAAAUAUUUUCGGAGAGAAAAUAAUUAAAACAAAUGAUCCUCGUUUCGAUAUUUGAUAAAAUUCAAAUAUGGAAAUCGUGAAAUCUCCAACUCUCUCCGUGGGUCCUUGAGUUGCUUAGAAUUUCGAGGAUCGCAAACCGAAAUGCAAUAAAAUAUGAUAUGCAUGAUGAUCUAAUGUAUAACAUUCCAAAUUGAAAAUUUGGGAUGUUACACAUCGUAUUUGUGGUAAAGCCACCGUUCAUAAUUUUUCAUAAAUGUCACUCUUGAAUCAUUGCACAUCCCGGUACACCGCCGGAGGCAUUCACAUAGAGUCAUAUUUUGUUCUAAGUAUUGAGUUGUAAUUCUUGAGUAGUAAGUAAAUAAAAGUGUGAUGAUCUUUAUUAGAGCAUUGUCCCAGUGAGGAAAGGAUGAUGGAGACUAUGAUUCCCCCACAAGUCGGGAUGAGACUCCGGACGAAAAAAGAGGCCAUAAAAAAGAGAAAGGCCCAAAUAAAAAAUGUGAGAAAAAGAGAGAAGGGGCAAUGCUACUAUCCUUUUACCACACUUGUGCUUCAAAGUAGCACUAUGAUCUUCAUGAUAGAGAGUCUCCUAUGUUGUCACUUUCAUAUACUAGUGGGAAAUUUUUCAUUAUACAACUUGGCUUGUAUAUUCCAAUGAUGGGCUUUCUCAAAUUGCCCUAGGUCUCCGUGAGCAAGCAAGUUACAUGCACACCCACUUAGUUUCUUUUGUUGAGCUUUCAUACACUUAUAGCUCUAGUGCAUCCGUUGCAUGGCAAUCCCUACUCACUCACAUUGAUAUCUAUUGAUGGGUAUCUCCAUAGCCCGUUGAUACGCCUAGUUGAUGUGAGACUAUCUUCUCCCUUUUGUCUUCUCCACAACCACCAUUCUAUUCCACCUAUAGUGAUAUGUCCAUGGCCCACGCUCAUGGAUUGCGUGAAGAUUGAAAAGUAUGAAACAAUUGCUUGGCUUGUCAUCGGGGUUGUGCAUGAUUAAAUACUUUGUGUGAUGAAGAUAGAGCAUAGCCAGACUAUAUGAUUUUGUAGGGAUAACUUUCUUUGGCCAUGUUAUUUUGAGAAGACAUGAUUGCUUUAUUAGUAUGCUUGAAGUAUUAUUGUUUUUAUGCCAAUAUUAAACUUUUAUUUUGAAUCUUAUGGAUCUGAACAUUCAUGCCACAAUAAAGAAUUACAUUGAAAAUUAUGUUAGGUAGCAUUCCACAUCAAAAAUUCUGUUUUUAUCAUUUACCUACUCGAGGACGAGCAGGAAUUAAGCUUGGGGAUGCUUGAUAUGUCUCCAACGUAUCUAUAUUAUUUUAUUGUUCCAUGCUAUUAUAUUAUCUGUUUUGGAUGUUUAAUGGGCUUUAAUAUGCUCUUUUAUAUUAUUUUUUGGACUAACCUAUUAACCGAAGGCCCAGUGCCAGUUUCUAUUUUUUUUGCCUAUUUCAGUGUUUUGCAGAAAAGGAAUACCAAGCGGAAUCCAAACGGAAUGAAACCUUCGCGAGGAUCUUUCUUGGAACAAACGCAGUCCAGAAGACUUGGAAUUGAAGUCUGGAACUCCGCGAGGUAACCACAAGGCAGGAGGGCGCGCCCAGGGGGUAGGCACGCCCCCCACCCUCAUGGGCCCCACGGAGCUCCACCGACGUACUUCUUUUGCCUAUAUAUACUCUUAUACCCUAAAAACAUCAGGGAGAGCCACGAAACCACUUUUCCACCGCCGCAACUUUCUAUACCCGUGAGAUCCCAUCUUGGGAACCUUUCCGGCGAUCUGCCGGAGGGGGAAUCGAUCACGGAGGGCUUCUACAUCAACACCAUAGCCUCUCCGAUGAAGCGUGAGUAGUUUACCACAGACCUUCGGGUCCAUAGUUAUUAGCUAGAUGGCUUCUUCUCUCUCUUUGAUUCUCAAUACAAAGUUCUCCUCGAUGUUCUUGGAGAUCUAUUCGAUGUAAUACUUUUUGCGAUGUGUUUGCCGAGAUCUGAUGAAUUGUGGAUUUAUGAUCAAGAUUAUAUAUGAAUAAUAUUUGGUUCUUCUCUGAAUUCUUAUAUGCAUGAUUUGAUAUCUUUGCAAGUCUUCGAAUUAUCGGUUUAGUUUGGCCUACUAAAUUGAUCUUUCUUGCAAUGGGAGAAGUGCUUAGCUUUGGGUUCAAUCUUGUGGUGUCCUUUCCAGUGACAGUAGGGGCAGCAAGGCACGUAUUGUAUUGUUGCCAUCGAGGAUAAAAAGAUGGGGUUUAUAUCAUAUUGUUUGAGUUUAUCCCUCUACAUCAUGUCAUCUUGCUUAAUGCGUUACUCUAUUCUUAUGAACUUAAUACUCUAGAUGCAUGCUAGAUAGCGGUUGAUGUGUGGAGUAAUAGUAGUAGAUGCAGAAUCGUUUCGGUCUACUUGACACGGACGUGAUGCCUAUAUUCAUGAUCAUUGCCUAGAUAUUCUCAUAAUUAUGCGCUUUUCUAUCAAUUGCUCGGCACUAAUUUGUUCACCCACCGUAAUGCAUGCUAUCUUGAGAGAAGCCACUAGUGAAACCUAUGGCCCCCGGGUCUAUUUUACAUUACAUAAGUUUCUGAUCUAUAAUUCUAGUUUCCUAUUUAUUUUAUUUUGCAACCUUUACUUUUCAAUCUAUACAACAAAAAUGCCAAAAAUAUUUACUUUACUAUCUUUAUUAGAUCUCACUUUUGCGAGUGACCAUGAAGGGAUUGACAACCCCUUUAUCGUGUUGGUUGCAAGGUUCUUCAUUGUUUGUGCAGGUACUAGGUGACUUGUGUGUAAUCUCCUACUGGAUUGAUACCUUGGUUCUCAAAAACUGAGGGAGAUACUUACGCUACUUUGCUGCAUCACCCUUUCCUCUUCAAGGGAAAACCAACGCAUGCUCAAGAGGUAGCACAUAUGGAUCUGACUGUCUCCACAAUCCGAGACCUGCAUCUUUCCUCUCUUUCAUGUUUUCAGCAACUGGAUGAUUGUCAUCAUGAUCAGGUAACUUUGGCUUGAGCUUUCUAAGCACUUGGGCUUCAUCAUCUUCCUGAACCUCAGGCACUGGGGCCUUGUUCUUUUAUGCAGCAGGAAUGUUUCUUGUACUUCUCUUAGGUGCAGUCUGCUUUGGAGCUUGUGAGGAUUGCUUGGGAGCAGUCUUGGGCUUAGGAGGAGCAGCCCCUGACUUGAUUGCAUCUCCCAUCAACUUCUGAGCUUUGGGAGCUGGUGCAGCAGCUUCUUCUUCAUCCUCAUCCUCAUCUUCAGGUGGGUCUUUCAUCAUUGAGGAUCUGCCAGUCACUCUGGCAAUGGUCUUUUUGACCCUUUCCUUUCUCUUCUUGCCUCCAGCAGCUUCUUCUUCUCUUGGCUCAAGAGAGAAUUCAAUGGUUUCCUGAGUUGAAGCUCUAACUUUUGACAUAGGCUUCCUCUGAGCAGGAGCCUUCUUCUUCAUGCCUGGCUUAAUGCCAGCAGCAACAACAACUUGCUCUUUCUUGAUCAACUUCUUCUUGGAAGUGACCUCUUCCUCGGCAACAUAAUCCUCAUCUUCAGAAUCUGAGGUUUUCUUCUUCCUCUGCCUAGUUGCAGCCUUAGGCAGAUUGUUGGGUGUGCUUCUGCUUCCAUCAUCUGAGCUGCUUGAGGGACUAGUGCCCUCACUGAGGUUUUGAUGCUCCUCUGGCCUGUUCUGGCUGUCACUCUGGUCUGACAUAGCUGAAACUGACCCUGUGAACAGAUGGGUAUAGGUAGAGUAGAUGAGCAUCACAAAGUACAGCUGUUUUGGAAAAAAGAAUGACUCAAAAACUUAAUUUUAGUUUUCUGCAGAAAGCAUUUCAAAGCUACCGAUAUGACAAACUCGGUGACGCCAAAGCAGCUUUAAAGUCUAAACAAGUGAAAUCGGUCAGACCGAGACACAGUUCGGUGACUUCGAGAUGCUAGGGUUUCACUGAGAAAGUAAACUCGGUCACACUGAUUCGUACACUUCGGUCAGACCGAGUAGUACAUGUGCAAUGGCCUGGGCCAAAUCGGUGAGACCGAAUCUUUCAAAUCGGUCGAUCCGAGAUCAGUUCGGCGGGAACCUAACCCUAAGUUUUUGGAUCAAAACUAAUCUAAAGGAAGUUUUAAUUGGAUAAGACUGUUUCAAUCGUGGCAAGAAUCAUGGCAUUGUCUUUGUGCUAAGAAUCAGAGUGAAGAAAGCACAAAGGGUCGAGUUCAUACCCUAGCUUGGUGAUGAACCCGCUACGGCGACAACGACGGCGAAGAUUUCCGUUGACGGUAGAGGACACCAGUGGCAGGAGCUCGCGGGCGAUGAGGAGACGAUCCGGAGACCACGAAUCGGCAGAGUUGGACAGGGCGGGCGAAGGGUUUGGAGAAAUUUCCAAAUUUUCAGCCCGGGAAUAUAUAUCAGACAUUGUCGGUGUGACCGAGUGGAACUACUCAGUGGCAUCGAGAUGCAGAAUCGCAAGCAGUUGCUGCAACUCGGUGUGACCGAAGGGUUCAAAUCGGUUGCACCGAGAUUAAAAACCUAGAUCAACUUAAUGAACUCGGUAUGACCGAAUGGAAUGGAUCGGUCAGACCGAAAUGCACUAAGAGGUUUUGGAAGUUAAGCCCUUGACGGAUCGGUGAUACGUCUCCGUCGUAUCUAUAAUUUUUUGAUUGUUCCAUGCCAAUAUUCUACAACUUUUACAUACUUUUGGCAACUUUUUAUACUAUUUUUUGGGACUAACAUAUUGAUCCAGUGCCCAGUGCCAGUUCAUAUUUGUUGCAUGUUUUUUGUUUCGCAGAAAAUCCAUAUCAAACGGAGUCCAAACGGGACAAAAACUUACAGAGAUUGUUUUUGGAAUAUAUGUGAUUUUUGAGAAAAAGAAUCAACAUGAGACGAUGCCCGAGGGGCCCACAAGGACGGAGGGCGCGCCCCUGGUCCUUGUGGCCACUCCGUAAGGCGGUUGGUGCCCUUCUUCUGGCGCAAGAAAGCUAAUAUCCGGAUAAAAAUCUUGUUAAAAUUUCAGCCCAAUCGAAGUUAUGGAUCUCCGGGAAUUUAAGAAACGGUGAAAGGCCAGAAUCUGGGAGCGCAGAAACAGAAGGAAACAGAGAGAGAGAUCCAAUCUCGGAGGGGCUCUCGCCCCUCCACCACUAUGGAAGCCAAGGACUAGAGGGGAAACACCUCUCCCAUCUAGGGGGGAGGUCAAGGAAGAAGAAGAAGAAGAAGAAGAAGAAGAAGAAGGGGGGCUCUCUCCCCCUCUCUCCCGGUGGCGCCGGAACGCCGUCGGGGCCAUCAUCGUGCCAACGAUCUCCACCAACAACUUCACCGCCGUCAUCACCAACUCUCUCCCCCUCUAUGCAGCGGUGUAACACCCCUUCUCCCCGCUAUAAUCUCUACUUGAACAUGGUGCUCAAUGCUAUAUAUUAUUUCCCAAUGAUGUAUGGCUAUCCUAUGAUGUUUGAGUAGAUCCGUUUUGUCCUAUGGGUUGAUUGAUGAUCGUGAUUGGUUUGAGUUGCAUGUUUUAUUAUUGGUCUUGUCCUAUGGUGCUCUACAUGUCGCGCAAGCGUGAGGGAUCCCCGCUGUAGGGUUUGCAAUAUGUUCAUGGUCUGCUUAUUGUCUGCGUUGCGUGAGUGACUGAAACACAAACACGGAUAGGUGGGUCAUGGCGUAUGGGAAUAAAGAGGACUUGAUACUUUAUUGCUAUGGUUGGGUUUUACCUUAAUGAUCUUUAGUAGUUGAGGAUGCUUGCUAGAGUUCCAAUCAUAAGUGCAUAUGAUCCAAGAAGAGAAAGUACGUUAGCUUAUGCCUCUCCCUCAUAUAAAAUUGCAAUAAUGAUUAACGGUCUAGUUAUCGAUUGUCUAGGGACAAAUAACUUUCUUGUGACAAACAACUCUCUACUAAAACUAACUUAGUUGUGUCUUUAUCUAAACAGCCCCUAGUUUUUAUUUACGUGCUCUUUAUUAUCUUGCAAACCUAGCCUACAACACCUACAAAGUACUUCUAGUUUCAUACUUGUUCUAGGUAAAGCGAACGAUAAGCGUGCGUAGAGUUGUAUCGGUGGUCAAUAAAACUUGAGGGAAUAUUUGUUCUACCUUUAGCUCCUCAUUGGGUUCGACACUCUUACUUAUCGAAAGAGGCUACAACUGAUCCCCUACACUUGUGGGUUAUCAAGACCUUUUUCUGGCGCCGUUGCCGGGGAGCAAUAGCGUAGGGUGAAUAUUCUCGUGUGUGCUUGUUUGUUUUAUCACUAAGUAGUUUUUAUUUUCUAUUCUAAGUUGUUUUCUAUCUUUAUUUAUGGGUAUGGAACACGAAACACCGAAAAAAUUAGGUCUACUUGCUACUCAUGGAGAUGGGGAACCUCCUAAAACCCUCGAUGCUCAUUAUGUGAAAGAUAUUAUGCACUACUUUAAUAAUCCUGAGAAAACCCCAUUCAAUUAUGUAAUGGGGGACACGUUGGAUCAACGUGAAUACUUUAGGGAUUAUCUCUUGACUCAAAAAGGGAAACUAUUAUGGGAUCAAAUUCAUAUGUUGCAUUGGUAUGCUCGGCAACUAUGCUUGAGAUAUGAUUAUACUUGUUGCUCUAGGAUGAAGGCUCCACACCUUCCCUUUUCAUGCAAAUUUAACGAUAAUGAAACCUUAGCUUAUUAUGCUAAUGGUAUAUAUGAUUACUAUGAUGUGGAACGAAUAGAAGAAUUUGUUACUUUCAAGGGUGCUUAUGAAAUUGAAUCUUUGUUUCUAAGUAUGAAGCUUUUGAUGAUGAUGUUUAUAGGCCUGAAAAUUUUGCUAUACUUAAAUUUGCUAUGAGAAUUAUGAAUAUAAUACCGAUAUUGAUGCAUUUAUUGAGAAAGUCUCUGCUGUCCAAGAAGAGAAUAAUAUUUUGCAGGAAACUAUGGAAGAAGAAAUUGAUGACACUGUGAGCUCAUUAGAUGAAAAAGAUGAGGAGGAGAGCGAAGAACAAAAGGAGGAAGAGCAGAUUAGCUACCCGUGCCCACCUUCUAAUGAUAGUAACUCUUCAACUCAUACAUUGUUUAAUUUCCCUUCGUGCUUACCGAAGGAUGAUUGCUAUGGUCUCUUUGAUUCGUUUGAAAUAUCCCUUUUUGAUGAACUUGAUGCUUGCUAUGCUUGUGGCCAUGAUGCCAAUAUGAAUUAUGCUUAUGGAGAUGAACUUGCUAUAGUUCCUUAUGUUAAGAAUGAAAUUGCUGCUAUUGCACCCACGCAUGAUAGUCCUAUUAUCUUUUUGAAUUCUCCCAACUACACUAUAUCGGAGAAGUUUACGCUUAUUAAGGAUUAUAUUGAUGGGUUGCAUUCUAAUAUUGCACAUCAUGAUUUUGAUAAAUAUAAUAUGCAUGUGCUUGUUGCUCCUACUUGCAAUUAUGAGAGAGGAACUACAUCUCCGCCUCUCUAUGUUUCCAAUAUGAUAAAAUUGCAACAAACUGUUUAUACUAUGCCUUGGCCUUUACUUUGUGUGCAUGAAAUGUUCUUUUAUGACAUGCCGAUGCAUAGGAAGAGAGUUAGACUUCGUCAUCGCAUGAUAUAUGUUACUUUGUGCUCACUACUAAAUUAUAAAUCAUUCUUAAUUAAAAUUGGCUUUGAUAUACCUUGGGAUCGGGGUGGAUCCAUUACUUGAGCACUAUAUGCCUAGCUUAAUGGCUUUAAAGAAAGCGCUGCCAGGGAGACAACCCGGAAGUUUUAGAGAGUCAUUUAUUUCUGCUGUGUGCUUUUAUAAAGUUUAAAAAAAUAAAGAGGGGAACCUAAAACUUUUUCAAAAAGAAAAGUGAAAGUGAGAGAGACGAGCAUUGCUAAAGUGGGAGCAUGCCUUGAACUUUGUUCAUGCCCAUGGAAACUUUGUGAAUCUUAAUUACAGAAAAUUUUAAAAAAAAUAAGUAUCCCCUUGUAUAAAUCCAUUGUAUUAUAAAAAUAAUGUGCCACGAUUUGCCUUUAGGAUAAUUAGAUUGCUUGUUUGGUUUGUGCAGUGCAAAAACAAAAACUUUGGCUGUAGCGCGUGAAUUUUUAUUUUUUACUGGAACGUCGAAUGUUUCUGAAACUUUUUGCACAGUACUUCUAUACAAAUUUUUUAUUUUGUCCUAAAUUUUCAGAAUUUUUGGAGUUACAUAAGUAUGGUUGAUGUUUAGAUUACUACAGACUGUCAUGUUUAAGACAGAUUCUGUUUUUGAUGCAUUGUUUUGCUCGUUUUGAUGAAACUAUCGAUUGUAUCGGUGGUAUAAGCCAUGAAAAAGUUAUAUUGCAGUAGAUAAAAUGCAAAAAUAAAAUAUGAAUGAGUUGCAACAGUACUUAAAGUGGUGAUUUGUUUUAUGGACCUCACGAGGGUUUUUGUUAAGUUUUGUGUGAUCGAAGUUUUCAAGUUUUGGGUGAGAUCACGAUGGAUGAAGGAAUAAUGAGUGGAAAGAGCCUAAGCUUGGGGAUGCCCGAGGCACACCAAGGUAAUAUUCAAGGACUCCCAAGCAACUAAGCUUGGGGAUGCCCCGGAAGGAAUCCCCUCUUUCUUCUAACGAUCAUCGGUAAUUUUACUUGGAGCUACAUUUCAUGAUAUGCGCAAAUCUUAGAGCGUCGUGUGCUUUUUAUUUUUCUUUUAAUAAUGCACCAUGCUGGUAUGAUAUAGUCCUUGGUUGAUUUAUAGAAUGCUCUUUGCACUUCACUUAUAUCUUUUGAGUAUGGCUUUAUAGAAUGCUUCAUGUGCUUCGCUUAUAUCAUUUGAAGUUUGGAUUGCUUGUUUCCCUACACAUAGAAAACCGCCAUUUGUAGAAUGCUCUUUUGCUUCACUUAUAUUUGCUAGAGCAUGGGCAUAUCUUUUGUAGAAAGAAUUAAACUCUCUGGCUUCACUUAUAUCUAUUUAGAGAGUUGACAGGAAUUGGUCAUUCACAUGGUUAGUCAUAAAAUUCUACAUAACUUCUAGAUCACUGAAUAUGAUAUGUUUGAUUCCUUGCAAUAGUUUUGCGAUAUGAAGAUGGUGAUAUUAGAGUCAUGCUUGUGAGUAAUUGUGGGCUGGUAGAAAUACUUGUGUUAAGGUUUGUGAUUCCCGAAGCAUGCACGUAUGGUGAACUGUAAUGUAACAAAGUCUGAGCAUGAUUUGUUUUUUAUUGUCUUCCUUAUGAGUGGCGGUCGGGAACGAGCGAUGGUCUUUUCCUACCAAUCUAUCCUCCUAGGAGCAUGCGUGUAGUACUUUGUUUUGAUAGCUAAUAGAUUUUUGCAAUAAGUAUGUGAGUUCUUUAUGACUAAUGUUGAGUCCAUGGAUUAUACGCACUCUGACCCUUCCAUCAUUGCUAGCCUCUUCGGUACCGUGCAAUGCCCUUUCUCACCUCGAGAGUCGGUGCAAACUUCGCCGGUGCAUCCAAACCCCGUGAUAUGAUACGCUCUGUCACACAUAAGCCUCCUUAUAUCUUCCUCAAGACAGCCACCAUACCUACCUAUUAUGGCAUUUCCAUAGCCAUUCCGAUAUAUAUUGCCAUGCAACUUCCAUCAUCAUCAUAUACAUGACUUGAGCAUUCAUUGUCAUAUUGCUUUGCAUGAUCGUAAGAUAGCUAGCAUGAUAUUUCCAUGGCCUGUCCAUUUUUUGAUAUCUUUGCUACGCUAGAUCAUUGCACAUCCUGGUACACUGCCAGAGGCAUUCAUAUAGAGUCAUACUUUGUUCUAAGAUAUUGAGUUGUAAUAUCGAGUUGUAAGUAAAUAAAAGUGUGAUGAUCAUCAUUAUUAGAGCAAUGUCCUAGUGAGGAAAGGAAGAUGGAGACUAUGAUUCCCCCACAAGUCGGGAUGAGACUCUGGACGAAAAAAAAGGAAGCGAGGCAAAAAAAGAGCCAAAAAAGGAGAAAUCAAAAAAAUGAGAGAAAAAGAGAGAAAGGGCAAUGCUACUAUCCUUUUACCACACUUGUGCUUCAGAGUAGCACCAUGUUCUUCAUAUAGAGAGUCUCUUGAGUUAUCACUUUCAUAUACUAGUGGGAAUUUUCAUUAUAGAACUUGGCUUGUAUAUUCCAAUGAUGGGCUUCCUCAAAUGCCCGAAGUCUUCAUGAGCAAGCAAGUUGGAUGCACACCCACUUAGUUUUCAGUUUGAGCUUUCAUACACUUAUAGCUCUUAGUGCAUCCAUUUCAUGGCAACCCUACUCCUCACAUUGACAUCAAUUGAUGGGCAUCUCCAUAGCCCGUUGAUUAGCCGCGUCGAUGUGAGACUUUCUUCCUUUUGUCUUAUCCACACAACCCCCACCAUCAUAUUCUAUUCCACUCAUAGUGUUAUAUCCGUGGCUCACGCUCAUGUAUUGUGUGAAAGUUGAAAAGGCUUGAGAGCAUUAAAAGUAUGAAACAAUUGCUUGGCUUGUCAUCGGGGUUGUGCAUGAUGAAAUACUUUAUGUGGUGAAGAUGGAGCAUAGCCAGACUAUAUGAUUUUGUAGGGAUAACUUUCUUUGGCCAUGUUAUUUUGAAAAGACAUGAUUGCUUUAUUAGUAUGUUUGAAGUAUUAUUGUCUUAAUGUCAAAUGAUAGACUAUUGCUUUGAAUCACUCGUGUCUUGCUACUCAUGCCAUGAUUAGAUUAUAUGAUCAAGAUUAUGCUAGGUAGCAUUCCACAUCAAAAAAAAAAUUAUCAUUUACCUACUCGAGGACGAGCAGGAAUUAAGCUUGGGGAUGCUGAUACGUCUCCGUCGUAUCUAUAAUUUUUUGAUUGUUCCAUGCCAAUAUUCUACAACUUUUACAUACUUUUGGCAACUUUUUAUACUAUUUUUUUAGACUAACAUAUUGAUCCACUGCCCAGUGCCAGUUCCUGUUUGUUGCAUGUUUUUUGUUCAACAGAAAAUCCAUAUCAAACGGAGUCCAAACGGGAUAAAAACUUACGGAGAUAUUUUUUGGAAUAUACGUGAUUUUUGGGAAAAAGAAUCAAUGCGAGACGAUGCCCGAGGGGCCCACGAGGACGGAGGGCAUGCCCCAGGGGGUAGGGCCCGCCCCUGGUCCUUGUGGCCACUCCGUAAGGCGGUUGGUGCCCUUCUUCUGGCGCAAGAAAGCUAAUAUCCAGAUAAAAAUCUUGUUAAAAUUUUAGCCCAAUCGGAGUUACGGAUCUCCGGGAAUUUAAGAAACGGUGAAAGGCCAGAAUCUGGGAGCGCAGAAACAGAAGGAAACAGAGAAAGAGAUCCAAUCUCGGAGGGGCUCUCGCCCCUCCACCACUAUGGAAGCCAAGGACUAGAGGGGAAACACCUCUCCCAUCUAGGGGGAAGGUCAAGGAAGAAGAAGAAGAAGGGGGGCUCCCUCCCCUCUCUCCCGGUGGCGCCGGAACGCCGUCGGGGCCAUCAUCGUGCCAACGAUCUCCACCAACAACUUCACCGCCGUCAUCACCAACUCUCUCCCCCUCUAUGCAGCGGUGUAAUACCCCUUCUCCCCGCUAUAAUCUCUACUUGAACAUGGUGCUCAAUGAUAUAUAUUAUUUCCCAAUGAUGUAUGGCUAUCCUAUGAUGUUUGAGUAGAUCCGUUUUGUCCUAUGGGUUGAUUGAUGAUCGUGAUAGGUUUGAGUUGCAUGUUUUAUUAUUGGUGCUGUCCUAUGGUGCUCUCCAUGUCGCGCAAGCGUGAGGGAUCCCUGCUGUAGGGUUUGCAAUAUGUUCAUGGUUUGCUUAUUGCCUGCAUUGCGUGAGUGACUGAAACACAAACACGAAUAAGUGGGUCAUGGCGUAUGGGAAUAAAGAGGACUUGAUACUUUAAUGCUAUGGUUGGGUUUUACCUUAAUGAUCUUUAGUAGUUGUGGAUGCUUGCUAGAGUUCCAAUCAUAAGUGAAUAUGAUCCAAGAAGAUAAAGUAUGUUAGUUUAUGCCUCUCCCUCAUAUAAAAUUGCAAUAAUGAUUACCGGUCUAGUUAUCGAUUGCCUAGGGACAAAUAACUUUCUUGUGACAAAUAGCUCUCUAGUAAAACUAACUUAGUUGUGUCUUUAUGUAAACAGCCCCUAGUUUUUAUUUACGUGCUCUUUAUUAUCUUGCAAACCUAGCCUACAACACCUACAAACUACUUCUAGUUUCAUACUUGCUCUAGGUAAAGCGAACGAUAAGCGUGUGUAGAGUUGUAUCGGUGGUAGAUAAAACUUGAGGGAAUAUUUGUUCUACCUUUAGCUCCUCGUUGGGUUCGACACUCUUACUUAUCAAAAGAGGCUACAACUGAUCCCCUAUACUUGUGGGUUAUCAAUCGGUGACUCCGAGUGCUCCUCACCCGGAGGGUCCGAAUUCGACUUGUUCAAACUUUGUGAUGUAGCAUGAAUAGAGUUUGAGACGAGAAAAGCAUAGAUAGCUAGAGGGAGUGCUUAGGCAUUCUUGUCCAUCCAUUUGGCAAAAAGAUAAAGCCAAGCAAUCAAAGCAACCAAUGGAUGUCCUCGAAUGAGAAAAAUAUGCAACCAACAUGCUCACACAAUAAGAUAGCAAAUAAAAUAUGUGGCAAAGCAUGCAUAAACAUUCUAGCAUCUAUCAAGCAAUUGGCGAUGACUAGGUCAUCUAUAUAUGAGUAUAUUGACUUAGGAGUCAAAUGAGAACAUUUGAUCAUAGGUCAUACUCGUCGUUUAAGCACAAGUGGAGUUACCACUUUUACAUAAAGCAUUAUUGUGUUCACACCAUUGUCCUCGAAAUCAAUGGACGUGUCCGGGUCAUCAUGAAAUCCUGGGUCGUUAUCAGGGGGAUGGUUCUCCAGUUGAGGAGAGGGGCAGCUGAUGGACUCGACCUAGAACCUCCAAUUCUAUUCGGAAAAAUGAUAGAUCCGGUCAGUAUACGGAAGAAAUGUCCGGACUGUGAAACGAAAGUUGAACUUACCCAUUCUAUGGGGUUAUAGCUCGCAUAACCCUCAAACGGGAAAAUUCUUCUUCACAUUUGAAGAGAUCGGCUAGAAUGGCAGCCAUAGCCGCCUGGUUAUCCGGCCCCUGCCAUUUGUAACGGGUCGCGUCAUUUGUCCCAUUAUAGCACCACAGGGGGUUCAUCCUUUGUUGAAGAGGUUGUACGCACUGAGCGAUGGCGGCGGCCAUCACGUCAACAAUGGUUAACUUGCUGUGGGUCAGUAGGCGAACCUUGGUGGCCAAGCUCAGCACUUCAGCACAUUCUUCCAGGGAAGUUCUUUUUGGCUGCCAGUUGAACCGCUUCUUUAGAGGAGCAUCUGAAUAUUCGGACAGACCCCUUCGUACUGGUUUGGAUAAGGGAACGUCUUCGAUAUAAAACCAUUCUGAGGUCCACUCUUUCGAAUCCUUCUUCGGGGUCCCAAUAGGAUACCCGGUCCCCGCUAUACUCCAUACCUCGGCUCCGCCUACUUCCAAAAUUGACCCUCCACGGGCGCGGGGGGCGAGGCGGAAAUAUUUCCUCCAUAACUCAAAAUGCGCCUCGCAGCCCAAGAACAUCUCGCAAAGGGCGGUGAAGCCGGAGAUGUGCAAUAUGGAUCCAGGGGUGAGGUGGUGAAGCUGGAUCCCAUAAAAUUCCAGCAAGCCCCGCAGAAAGGGGCGAAUGGGGAAGCCUAGACCUCGUAGAAGGAAAGGCACGAAACAUACUCUCUCUUCCUUGCUUGGGGUAGGGAAGUUCUCCGCGAAGGCCUUGCCGUCCACAGAAGUUAACCCGGAACGAACAGAUACGAGAUCUGCAGCGGGGAGAUAUCCUUGCGUUUGGAGAUUGCUCAACUGGGGGUGUGAAACUAAGCAGCUAGCCCAGACACCCGGGAGAGGGCCAUGGGGGCGUGAGGAUGAACCUGGGGCGCUGGCCAUUGGAUCCGAGAUUUCUUUAGUUUGGUCUUGGCCUUUUGCUUUGGAUGGAUUAAUCAUCCGUCGCGCUCCUGACCUGUUAAAUAGGUACGCUUUCUGGUCCCAUAGGGGCAUUUCUAUAAAAGAACGUUGGACUGUUCGCCUCCUGACGGCGCACGGAAAUCAAGGGUUGUCUUUAGCCCUUGAUGAAAAUUAAUACCGAGGGUCCUACAAUGACUUAACGAAUUGGGAGGUCAUCGGUGGCCGAACUGCUAAAACUGCCAAAUAAGGAAGGGGUGAAGAGCUCGCCUCGCAAGCCAAAGACUUUGGGGCACACCGGGCGGCCGGCAAUCGCGAAUCCCGGCGCUAGAGGCUAGUUCGGGGGCUACUGAGGGAGACCUGGACUAGGGGGUCCUCGGGCCGCUGCCUCGUCUCUCAUGGGCCGGACAGGUGGGUCGCACUACAAUUGCUAGAAGGUCGGACUACGAGGUGGUUUCGUGUUCGGGUAGGAGACCAUUGGAGUAUUGGUGUGUCAUCCAAGUCAAGAUAGAAGAUUCAGCAUGUUUAUUCUCUUGUUGUAACCGACUAUAUGUAGCCCUAGCACCCCUGGUGUCUAUAUAGACCAGAGGGUUUAGUCCGUAGAGGCUAGAACAACAACCAUCAUCCUACUAGCCUAGGGUUUAGUUCAUCUAAUCUCGUGGUAGAUCGACUCUAUAACCAUCCUAUACACCUCAAUAUAAUCAAGCAAGACGUAGGGUUUUACCUCUUAGAGAGGGCCCGAACCUAGGUAAACAUCGUGUCCUUCGUCUCAUGUUCCCCAUUGAUCCAAGAUCCACAGCUCGGGACCCCCUACCCGAGAUCCGCUAGUUUUGACACCGACAGGGUGCGCAAUGUGUAAAGCAACACUGAGUGAAUCAAUCAAUCAAUCAACAAGUUGAGCAAGAAGAAGCAAAGCUUACGUUCUCCACGGCUGUCGAGCACAAUAGCCACCUUGCCUCUAGCCGAUCAACUGCGUCAAAACUUAGCGACUAUGGUCUGGAUGGUGUACCAUCGAUACGUUAACGACUUCACAUUGCGUUCAUGAAUGAUGAGCAUGUAGUAGGGUGUUGUGUGCUUUUGCGUGUGAAACGAAUCAUGCACUCGCUGCCAGAAGAGCCCCCUUCUUCUCCUUCCUACGAAAUCCACGGAUAUGACCAAUCACUCACCGCACAAAAACUCAUCCUCCGUGAUCGAGUACCCCAUCAUCCUUCAUAAUCUAAAAAACUAACAUGAACUUCAAAAUUAAGCUCAAUCACAUUUGACCUAAUGUACGGCGUGGUGACCGCCAUGGACGUCGUCGACAGGGGGCAGAGGGUACCUGGCUGCAGACAAAUCCUGGGAGGAUAGAGCCAUAGUACAAAGCGAGCGGGCACGUGGGUGGUGGUUGCGGAUGUCCGGCAAUGCAUGUGUGACGGUCGGAGAGGUACAUCGACGGCGUCGGAGGAGGAGGGCGCUAAUGCAAAGCAAGACGGAGCAUGGGCAGACUGAAAGAGAAUGGGAUCGGGAGGGGGAUUUGACUGGGUCGGGGGUGUCGGAGUCCUAUGUGGCUAUUGUUCGGACUACCGCACCCCCCCCCCCCGGCCUGGUCUGCUUCCAAUUUACGGGAAAAGUGCGUCCGGACCGGUCAACGGACCGAUACAGGCUCGCGUUGGAUGGCAAAACACGUUCGGACUACGUGGUCCGAAUGGAUGCGGGCGGUUUGAGGGUCCGCUUUGAAGAUGCCCUUACAUAGUAAUGUUUAUACCUAGAAAAUAAAGCUAUUGCUAUGCUCAUAAAUGCUGCCAGCAUCGGCCUGUAUCGACUUUUAGUCCCAUGAGCUCCUUUGUAAGAGAAUUAAGCUUAAUUCGAAGGGCAAACAUUAUCCAUUCUAGCACACAAUGGUUUUGCUAUGAUGGAAGAAGAGAGCCUUUUCAGUAACUAUCGGGCUUCGAGUUCUUCAUAGUCCUACUCCCAAAUUCCUUGAAGAAACUGGUACAUAAAUGCAUCCUAGUCGAACCAUUGUUCAUCUAGGAUGUAUUCUACAGAAGUUUCUUCAAAGAAUUUGAGAUUUUGAUUAAGAACUCGAAGAGUGACAAGCAAAACUCUUCUUCUUCUUCUUCUUCUUCUUCUUCUUCUUCUUUAAAAUAAACAUCAGGCUUUAUUAAUUAGAUAUAACGGUUACAUCGUCAAUAAGGAGAGAUACAAUAUCAUCCAUGGGCUCCUCAACCAAUCCCUAGUCGCAGAAAAUUUCGCUAGCCUAGCAAGUUCAUGAGCAAUCUUAUUCGCUUCCCUAUUACAAUGUUCAAACCUAGUAAUAGUAAAUUCACAAGCCAUAAAAUAGCAAUCAUCGAACACUGUCACCGCCGCUCCCGCCAAUUGUGUCCUCCAUUUUUCAUUGAGUCAAUCACUUCCAUAUUAUCCGAGUUGACAAUAAGGCGAUUGCACCCCGCUUCUGUGCAAGGGUAAGGCCAAACCUUAGUGCUGGUGCUUCUGCUGUUUGUACAUUAGCACACCAUCAAUCCUCCAACUUCCUCCAACAAUGAACCUUCCUUUGUCAUCUCUGAGGACCGCCCCCGCCAUGCCUCUAAGAAGAUCAUGGUCAAAAGAAGCAUCAACAUUUAGCUUUACAAAACCCAUAGGAGGUUGCCUUAGGGGAGUUUGCUUUAACAUAAUUUGGUAUGCAUCUUGAGACUUUCCUUCAUGAACUAGUUUACAUCUAUCCCCAUAAGUAUCAAGCUUUUAUAAAGAUCAAUUCACGUGCGUUCUGAAGGCCCUAUACGGAUAUUUCUUGAUCUAGCAUAAGUAGUAAAAGUUCAAGAACUAUCUCUCCCGCCCGGUCGACAACACAAGCUCUAUUGAUCACCUCAUACAAUCCUAAGUUAUCCCAGACCUCUUUCGCCUCCUGACACAGAAACAAGACGUGGUUUGUGUCUUCUGGCCCAUUUGAACAUGAUGGGCAAAUGGGCAAGACUUUCACAUGUCUAUUGGCGAGCAUAACACGACAUGGAAGGGUUUGAUGCAAUGUACGCCAGAUGGAGAUUUUUACCUUUGCCAGACAAGAUAGCUUCUAGGUCUUGCUCCUGAUAGGAUUAGCAUUGGUUCUACCCAUAAUAUUUGUAUGUUGCAAUUUCCUCCCAUACUGUUGGUUUCUAUCCUCCCAAUAAGCCGAUCGAGCAGUGAACAACCCACUUUUUGUGUAACUCCAAGAGGAAUGUAGAUACCGCCUUGCUUGGGGUUUGAUGAUAGGGUCAUGGUGAUGUCCAUGGAUGCUUUGCAUCAUGUCAACGGUCCACCUGAGCUUGUGGGUUUGAUGUAUGCAAUCGUCUAACUGCCACUGCCGAAAUUGAAAGACACGCCACCAGGACAAUUUACGUGUUCUUAACGGUACACAUAUACUCCCUCCGUUCCAAAAUAGAUGACUCAACUUUGUACUAAAGUUAGUACAAAGUUGAGUCAUCUAUUUUAGAACAGAGGGAGUAGUCACCAAGUUUGUGGGAUUCCAGGAAGCAAACACGAACCAAAAAAGGCGCAACAGUUCACAACCAAAGCAACUUCGCCGGAUUUGAGAAACCAAACAGCAAACAUAGAUAGAGCCAGCAAAAUGCAUAGAAACAUCAAGUAUAAGCACUGUAAAAUUAAGACGGACAAGUUGAAAGCCAACUUAUAACACAACUUUCAGUCUCCCUCUCCCUCAUCACAAUGUCGAUAGCAGAGAUAACAAGUUCAUCUAGAAAAUCCUAAAACACAGGUUUUUGUCCAUAGGGUAGAUAUAGCAGAUCGCAUCAGAUUCUAGAUAUCCAUUCAUGCCUCACAAAAUAUGAACUUUAAGCCGCAAAGACAUCUCAAGGGGACAUCCUAGUCUACUCCCAGCCUUGAGCAGGGGGUUGCACCGCGGCGUCCCAGCCAGUAGCAGCCACAACAGGAGCAGGGACAGCACCUUCCACAGCAACAGGUGCCCCUGCUGCAUCCCAUCCAUCACCACCAGCAACUGGAGCUGGAAUUGACAACAACAAACAAAGAUGUGAUCAAUUUAAGUUGCACAACAAAAUAUUCAACUAGGCCUUGGCAUAAACUACUAUAAUUUUGGAAUGGACACUGGAAACAUGCAAUGUGUCUAACAUUAGUCAAGACAUCAGGGCAAACUGU